rnacentral:lncRNA from 1 species
UUCUCACUCUCUCCCGCUCUCUCUCUUCUUCUUCCUCUUCAUCCUCUUGUCGAGCUCCAUUUCCUCCUCCACCGCUGCCCUGGUCCAGCAACAACCCCUCGUCCUCAAGUACCACAACGGAGCUCUUCUCAAGGGCAACAUCACCGUCGACCUCGUGUGGUACGGUCGCUUCUCCCCCACCCAGCGCUCCGUCAUCGUCGACUUCAUCCGCUCCCUCGGCUACGCCCGCUCCCCUCCCCCCUCCGCCGCCUCCUGGUGGCGCACCACCGAGAAGUACAGGGGCGGCAGCUCCAACCUCGUCGUCGGGAGACAGGCCCUUCACGAGGCGUACACCCUCGGGAAGUCACUCGAGAACCGCCACCUCCGCGCCCUCGCCGGUAAUUUCAACGCCGCCCCCGGCUCCAUCACCGUCGUCCUCACGGCGGCGGACGUCGCCGUGGAGGCGUUCUGCAUGCGAUGCGGGACGCACGGGUCGGCUCGGCCCGGGUCCACGUUCGUGUGGGUCGGGAACUCGGAGACCCAGUGCCCGGGGCAGUGCGCGUGGCCGUUCCACCAGCCCGUGUACGGCCCGCAGACGCCGCCGCUGGUGGCGCCGAGCGGCGACGUCGGGGCCGACGGCAUGGUGAUCAACCUGGCGACGCUCCUCGCCGGCACCGUCACGAACCCGUUCGGGAGCGGGUACUUCCAGGGCCCGGCGGAGGCGCCGCUGGAGGCGGUGUCGGCGUGCACCGGGAUAUACGGGUCGGGCGCGUACUCGGGCUACCCGGGCCAGCUCCUGGUGGACAAGGCGACCGGCGCGAGCUACAACGCCAACGGGCUCGGCGGUCGGAAGUUCCUGUUGCCGGCGAUGUGGGACCCGGAGACGUCCGCCUGCAAGACCCUCGUGUGAUCGCGCCGCGUGGACGACGAAGAACAUCAUCGUCGUCAUCCAUGUACUACGGUCUGUAAAUAUUGCGGGGGCGGUUCGCUGUACUGUUGUAUUAUAACUCUGUCUGGACUCGGUUCGCGGUUUGACCGAUCCGAGUCGAACCCGGGUCGGUUCGAUUCGGACCGGGUUUAGACCGGGAAUGGGCGACGGUAAGUGUUGUGUGUCGCGAGGUUCGAGGGAUGUGGGAUAAAGACGAGUCGAGACGAGUUCUCUCUUGAUUUUCUUUGGGGUUUCUUUUCUUUUUUCUCCCUUAGUUUUUCUUUCGCACCGGUUGUGGUAGGAGUAAUAAUUGUAUAAAGAAAACGGAGAAAGAGAAUAUAUACAAAUUAUAAAGAGUUUAUAUGUAUAAGAAAUGCUCACUUUGCAUUUUUUUUUCCUUUCUUGAGCCAAAAUCUCGGCAUGAUCACCUUUAUAAAAGGAGUUUGACGACCCUCGUCGAAGAAGAGAGAACCCGACAAUCAAGCCAAUUAAGUCAUGAUAUUGCCUUACUAAAUUCAAUUUCUCUCUAGCCAAAAUUGGAUUGCAAUUGAUAGCUAACUCUUUUAAUGAUUAUAUGACAAUUGUUACAACUCAAAUCAAAUACCUUACGAUUUCACAAUAUUGACUUGGUUAGUCAAUCUUAACGUCUCGAGAUAGGCGCAACUUUUCGUCCUUUACGAGAUGAUAUUAUUUUCCUAUGGGUCCAAUUUUUUUUUUUUUUGUCAAGCUAUGGGUCCAAUUUAUCUCUCUAAAUUUUUUAGCUAAGAGGCCAUUUUAUCACGUGGCCAAAGCUGAUUGGGAAGAGAAGAUAGUGCAAAGGAACGGACACGUGGGAAUGAAGAUGUGUAAGAUGUACGGACGAAGAGACCCCCAUUUUGCCAUUUAUAGCUGUACAAAAAAACAUUCGGGACCAAACAUAUCCUUUCGUAAAUCCGGAAUAACAUCAGGUUAGUUAAAAUUUAAUUUACCAUAUUAAAAUAUAUUCUUUUUUGUUUAGUAACCAAGUAAAGAUAUUUACAAAAUAGGAUAGAUGAUUAUUGAUUAAAAAAGAAAAAUUGCAAUUUUGAUUGUAAUCAGUAACCAUACGUUAUAAAUUCUAAUGAAAUCAUAAAAUUUUUAAUUAUUUCAAUAUACCAUUAAAAUUUUAGAUGAAAUUUUAGUGUAAUUAUUUCGAUUCAUUCUUGUCUGAAAUUUGCUAAUAUGACAAUCCUUUGACAAUCCAGUCGUAGCCGUACAUGGCAAGUUUGGGAAAUGAAAAGUCGUAGCCGUACACGGCAAGUUUGGGAAUUGAAAAGUCGGAGAAAUAAAGGUGAGGGGGAAAAUGCUUUGAUGACAAACUUUAAGAAAGAAAAACGGGUUUUAUUUUCCUCAGACUCUUAACAACUCGGCAUUUUAAUCUUUGUUUAAGGUUUAGCUGUAUACAAAUCGGCAUGAAGACACUGCCCUUUGUAAUUGUACCUAAACGUUGAGAUAAAAAAAAUUUUGAAAAAAAUUACUAAAGGUAGGGUUAUUUUGAGAUAUUGACCCUAUUUUAUCUAACUUAUUUUUUCUAUUUUUAUUAAAUAUAUUUUUUAGAGCAAAAAAUAAAAUUUUUGACCUCCCAAAGAAAAAAAAAUCUUCAGCUCCGUCACCUAUUGAAUUAUACCAUGCCAUGUAAGCAAAUCAAAGGCUACUCUAACUCAACGAAAGACCCAAAUUGAAUGAAAAUCGAAAGUGAGGUACUUUAUAAUUGAUUAAUAUUAAGGUGGUUCUGAAAAUAAAAAUAAAAAUAAUUGACACAAAGGCACGGAUUCUAUUAAUAAAUGAGGUCGCUCAUCAAUGCGAUUAUCAUCCUUAGCUUGAACCUCAAAUAUAAUAUAUGUGGUUCCUAUAAUAAAAUAACUGCAUAAUAAUGCUAUCCGAGAGAGAAAAAAUAAGAUAUUAUCAUAGUUAGGGGCUCUCCACUCUAUCUUCCCUAGGAAACAUAUUUGAAUAAUAAAAAGGCGUUCCAAAGUAAUGGCUGAAUCUUAUGACAUCAUCUAUCAUAUCAGUUCCUUCUCCACUAUUAUUUAAUUCACAAGCAUUUCUACUGGUUUUUGCUGGCUUAUUUUUUUCCCUCGGUCCUAAUGAUAAUUGGGGAUCGGUGUUAGGAUGAGAUCACAAACCCUCGACCUACCCUAUUAGAACUGAUUCUUAGUUGCUUGUUUGUAGUAUUCUCAAUCAAAAGACUUGUUGGGUUUGGUUUUGAACAAAUUCAAAGCCUGUUCUACUUGAAAACCGGUCUUAUAAUCAAUUAGAUCAUUCGAAAGUCAAGAACUGGGAAUAGAACCGGUCAUAGUUGGCUUGUGAAUCUUUUACUCCAGAGCUGAGCCAAUCCCUAUGUGAAUCAGCUAGAUAAGGUCUGUUCGAUUUGAUUUUUGAACUAAACCAGUCCGGUUGCUCACCUUAACUCACUAAUUCGUCAUAAUUCAUCUAACCUUUUCAGUGAUGAACUUGAGAAUCACUUUUUUCUACAACACCUAUGACUUGACAGUGCCAUGAGUCAUGACAAAGCCAAAUCAUGCAUGAAGAGAAGACAUUUCAACGCAUACCCACAAAAAGAACCAAUAAUUUAAUCUGGCUCGCCUAAUCCAAGAAAAUGUUCAUCUAUAAGGACCAAUAAUUGGAAACCGUCCACAUCACGAUUCGAUGGUGACAAUUUUGAUGGCACAGAUAUUAUCAUAUUCCUUUUCAAUAAAACUAGUAAUUAUAGGCACACUAAGUGGAUAGCAUUCACAUUGCAAUAAAGAUAUCCUCCUAUUUAAACACAAAAUAAUUAAUGAUUGCGUCGUCCGGCAAUGAUGGAUUGAAGCCUCCCACUACACAGGUCAUAAUUAUAGAUUAUAUCAAAAGGUGUACACUCGCUGCCUAAGACCUUAUCAUUCAAGCUCAUCUUUAAAUUCGAAUGCCAUAGACUUUAUGUAGUUUGGAUUUUACAAUGGUGCAUGAUCGUUUGUUUUCUAUUGUAACCAGUGAAAGUGCUUUUCAAGGCCACGGCAGGAAGUCACCUGACGGCAAUACUCUCUAACCUUAGAUGGAACAAGAAAUAAGAUAUAUCGUUUGAAUAUCCAUACAUUGCUUUUCUAAGGAAUUUAUACAUUUUUAUAUACUUGUAGUGUUCCUUUACAUAUUAACUCAAAUUUUAGGUUCGAUUUUUCAAACAAGAUAUUUGAGUCAAAUUUUGCCUUAGUUUAUCUCUUCCGCAUGCCCUCUUCACCAAAUUUCACAUGUAGUUCUACAUUUAUUAUUUAUGGGAUUUAUAUGCCCUUAUAUAUACGGUCUUCCUUUACCCAUUAGAUUGAUUUUUAAAAAAAAAUAUUUGAAGGAAAAACAGAAACAAUGAAAAUCAACUUUUAAAUUUAGGCAUUUUCUAUCUGAGUGUUCAUCUUUCACUCUCCAACUUAGCACUGCAUUAUUCAAACAGAAUGAAUCAUAUCAUUGUUGAUGACUUCAAUACAAUACACCUUUUAUAAGAUAAAUGAAAUUUCAGUCACAAAUUAGGAAAAGUUUUGAAAUUUCUAUGAGAAUGCGAGAUGGGAAAGUUCAAUUUUUUUUUUUUAAAAAAAAAUCCACUCUCCUUUUCUAAACAUAAGACUAAGGAUAUGAAAAACCGUACUUGAGAAAAAAGUGUUGUCAAGAAAAAAAUUGCUAUCAAACUGCACGUUAAGACGGGUCCACGUCCUUCCAUUUUAUUUUAUUUUUCCAUUAGUGUAUUCGCAAUCUUGUGGAUAUACAUGAUUUAACUAGCUUAAAUUAGAGAAUUCAUGCUGAAGUUGAUGAUGAUCUCAAGGUUUCGUCAGGUCAUUGGAUCGAUCAAUUCGCAGCCUCCUAUCAAAAUUAUGUUUCGUUGAAAUUCUGCGACUUGUCCAUUCGCCAUCUAAAUCAGUGCACCUUGGUUAGGACUGGACUGACCUCUCUUGUAGAAGCCGUCUCCAAUUUUCAGCAACAAUUAUGGUUCAUAUUCAUGUACACAUUCAUCAAGGAAACUUUCAUAGUACUUGAUGUCCAUAUCACAAAAAAGAAAAGGCAUAAAAUAUUAUAAAUGGCGCCGCGGCUGAAAAAUGAUGCUUCGAGAGAUUAUGAUUCGAGAUUAUUUAGUAGGGCAAAAGAUAAAAUUGGAGGGAGAAAACUAUUGAGAAAUAAUUUAGAAAGAUUAAGUUUGAUUGAGUUUGAGGGACAGAUGACAAUUGAUUAGAUUUGUUCUCCAACAGACACUUGAUGGCUCGAUUGAUGGCUCAAGUCCAUCCUCUCUUUUUCGACUCUACCCACAUUACAAUCCACACCCACUUCAUAAUACCUAGAUGUAACCGGUUGAUUAUAUGGCACCCAAAAAAUAUCAAUAUUGUUUGACGUCAAAGCACUAAGGCGAUAGGAUGUCACGUUUUGUGUGCUAUCUGUUUCAAUUCAAUCCAAAUCAGCUCCAUGUAUCUCUAAACCUAAAUCAUUGGUCACCACGUCAUUGUCCUAUCAUGGCCGAAUCAAUCACGCUAUGAGAAUUGUAACGACGGAAGGGUUUGCAUUUUGAUUAUGGUAGAGGAAUUCUUCCAUAUAUCGAUUAUCUGACAAUGAUUAUGGAAACAUUCUAUUUUACUACUAGAGAACCUAGUCCGGAUCCUUAAUUCUUUAUUUAUCUUUAGUUUUCUCUGUUUUCUAUGAUUUAUCUAUGAAUUCAACUUAGGGUAUGCAGAGAGGACUAUCCACACUUUUUUUCCAAGUUAAAGAGCCAAUAUGUGCCCUUCUCCAAACUUUGGGUAGAAAUGCCCUUACUCUAAUUCUUAAAAAAAUUAUGAAAUAAUUAAAUCUUUUAAGCGUUAUAAUUUUUUGGAUUUCGCCAAAAAAAAAUGUCAAAGUAAAACAGGAGUAAAAAAAAUCAAGAAUAAUAUAGGUCCCUCCAAACACAUAGCAAAAAAAUAAAAAUAAAAAUACGUACAAGUUGGAAGAAAAGUUAGGAAAAAAAACCUACUCUUUGCUAUUUUGUUGAAUCGAACGUAAAAACAAAUGAUUGCGUGCAUUAUUUGGCUAUACUUUGUCGUUGCAAUUCGUUCUUUAAAUACGCAUAUCUGAAAUCGGAUCUCGCUUGGGAUGGGGUUGGCCAAAUGACCACAUCAAAGGGCCAUCAUAAUGAUUGACAAGCGUCCGUCCUCGCCCUUCUAUAAGGUCCGCUCACCCGUUUCAUUUCUUUUUGAAAGAAAAAAAAGAAGAUGUAUGCAUGCAAAAUUAUGGCAGGAAAUUAUGGUGGGGAUAUUUUUAAUGCAUCCAUGCAAAGCACACCGACAAAGCUGAUGUCAUACAAAGAACGAAUAAGGACAAUUUUCAAAAAAUUGGAAAAAUGAUUCAUGUCACACUUGUAAGUAAUUUCCUGUCAAAAUUGAGCAAAUGGACUAUAUUGACAAAUUAUCAAAAAGUUUAAAAUUAUAUUGGUAAAAAUUAAAAGAUUUAAGUCUAAAUUGAUACAUAUGUAGAAGGGUACUGUACAACGGCAGAAUAUUUUCUUUAAUUUUAAGAUUAUUUUGGUAAUUUUCUCAAAAUAAGCGAUACCAUCCUACAAAAGAGAGAAAAUCCAACGAUGAGAACAAUCAGAGUCACCAUAUUACCUUAUUUAGUUCAACUUAGCUCUAGCAAUAACUCAAAUGAAACCAAUGGCACAAGCUCUUAAGAAUUAUAUGACGGUCCAAAAGACUUGAAUGUCAUCUAAGACCUAACUAAUUCAAUCAACCUCAAUCAUUCGCCAUGCCAUGCACAAAUUUUCAUCCUCCACAAGUUUUAUUUUUUAAGUCAAAUGUAUAUCUCUAACAUUUUCUAACGAUAACUUGAUGACUCGAGGGACAGUUGAUGACACUUGAUUGAUUAGACUUGUUCUCCAACAUGUACUCGACGGCUCAUUUCGCGGCUCAAGUUCAUCGUCUCUUUUUCGACCCUACCCACAUUACAAUCCAUACCCACUUCGUAAUAUCUAGAUGUAACCCGUUGAUCAUAUGGCACCAAAAGAAUGUCCAUAUUGUUCAACGUCAAAGCACCAGAGCGAUAGGAUGUUGUGAUUUUUGUGCUAUCUAUUUCAAUUCGAUCCAAAUCCGCCCCAUGUAUCUCUAAACCUAAUUUAUUGGUCAUCACAUCAUCGUCCUAUCAUGACCGAAUCAAUCACACAAUUGGAACUGUAAUGAUGAAAGGGCUUGUAUUUUCAUCAUGUUCUUUGGAUUCUUCCAUGUAUUGAUAAUCUAACGAUGAUCAUGGAAACAUUUUAUUUUACUACUAGAGAACCUAGUCCGGAUCCUUAAUUCUUUACGUAUCUUUAGUUUUUCUCUAAUUUCUAUGAUUUAUCUAUGAAUUCAAUUUAGGGCAUUGUAGAGAGGACUAUCUACACUCUUUUUUCAAGUUUAAUGGUCAAUAUGUGCCUUAGGAAACACUGAUACUUUCUAGGAGUUUUCGUAUCACACCAGACACUACAACGCGUGUCCGACACUCUUUGGUACUUUCUUUUGACACUCAAUCAACAAGUAUUGGAUAUUUCGACACAUCAUCAACUCUCUCGAUAUUUUUCGACACACGAGUCAAAAUUCUGACACAUGUUCCAACACCUAAGAGAUCAAAUUUAAAAUUUUUCAAUAAAUAAGGAGGUCAAAUUGUAAACAUAUAAAAAAUAAAAAUUAAUAAAAAUAAUAAGGGGGAAAAACAUACUAUUCUCUUCUCUUUUAACUCUCAUUUCCCAUAAUACACAAUUCACCCCAAGUUUAUUUUUUUCUCUUCUCUUUCGAAACACUUUGACAAGCAAGUCCAAAAUGUGGAUUCUUUGUUUUUUCGCUCCAAGUUUUAUGGAUUAUUGGAAUGAAGUAGAAUUUGUCAAAUUGAAUUAAUAAAUGAUAUUAACAAAUUGUGGAUUAAUGUUUUUAGUGUUAAUUCAUUCUAGGCUUUAUUAUUAUUUAUUUAUGAAUUUGAAUCAAAUUAAUUUGAUUAAAAUAAUCAUAAAAAUGAUAAUUUAUCAUGCAUAUUUUUUAUUUAAUAUACAACGUGUCAUAUGUCGAAAUUUUCUAUUUUUUGAAAAAUGACGUAUCAAUGUGUCAUAUUCUAUCAUGUCACGUGUCGAUAUUGAUGCUAAUUAGUAUGUGGCUUCUCCAAACUUUGGGUUGAAAUGCCUUAAAAAAAUUAAAUCCUUUUUAGUGUUACAAUUUAUUGGAUUUCACAAAAAGAAAAUGUCAAAUUAAAAUGGAAGUAAAACAAAAAAAAUAAUAUAGUCCAGUCCAAACAAGUAGCCAAAAAAAAGAGAGUACAAUUUAGAAUAAAAAUUAGGAAAAAAUAUUUUUUGCUGUUUUUUUUUUUUGGUAUUGUAUUUUUUUGCUAUUUUAUUGAAUCCAAAAUAAAGACAAAUGAUCCGUAGACCCUUUGCCUUGCGUGCAUUAUUUGGCUCUACUUUGUCGUUGCAAUUAAUUCUUUAAAAAUGCAUAUAUAAGAAAUUGGAUCUCCGUUGGGAUGGUGAUGGUUAUAUCACCACGUCAAAAGGCCCAUCAAAAUCGAUGGCGAGCGUGCAUGCGAAAUCAUAAUUGUAAGAAAAUUCUAAUUUUAUUGUAUUGCGGUUAACUCAAUUCUAAAUAUUUUAUUUAUAUUAAUUUAAUCUUAAAUUUUUCAAACGUGUUAAUUUAGUCAUAAUUUUUUAAAAAAUUUGUCAAUUUAGUCAUAAACAUUUGAAUGAUUUAUUAAUUUAGCCCUAGUGGCAUGGUCAGAUGCAACAUGGAUAAUUUUUUUCAAUUUUUUAAAUUUUUCUAAAUUUUAUUUUAUUUUCUCUCCUUUUCAUUUUCUUUUUUUCCCCCUUUCGAUUCAUGAUUAAGGUCGAUAUGGGGAUACGAGUCACCUGCUGAGGCCCAGCGACCCUUUGCAUUACAAAAACUUAAAAAAUACAAAAUGUUACAUAUGGCAUCACGACUGAAAAAUGAUUCUUCCAAAUAUUUCAAUUUAAGAUUAUUUAUUUAGAGAAAAAUGCAAUGGAACAAAGAGAAAAAUUAUUUAGGAAAAAUUUAGAAAGAUCGAGUUAAUAUUGAGCCCGAGGGACGGAUGGUGCUUGUCUAAUUGGAGUUGCUUUCCAAUGGAUCCUAGAUGGCUCAUCUCACAGCUAAAAUUGGUCCCCUCUUUUUCGACCCCGCUCACGUUACCAUCAAUAACCUACUUCUUGAUAUAUCGGUGAACCAAAAGGAAAAAAAAAUUCGUUUGAUGUCAGAGCACAAGGACGAUAUAAUGUUAGAGUGUCACAAUUCAAGUCUUGUAGAAAUCGGCCAACAAGCAAAUUGGUGGUAGACCCUAUUGCAUUACGUGCAUUAUUUGGCUUUACUUUGUCCUUCCAAUUCAAUCUUUAAAUGCGCAUAUAUAAAAUCGUGUCUCUCUUGGUACGGUGUUUGGUUAUAAGACCACAUCAAAGGGCCAUCAUAAUGACUGGCGAGCGUGCGUACAUGCCCUUCUGAUUAUGUUUCUUUCAAGAUGCAUGCAUGCAUGCAAAAUUAUUGCAGCAAAUUAUUGGUGCGGAUAUUUUUAAUGCAUCCAUGCACAGCACACGGCUGAUGUCAUACAAAGAACAACUAAGGACAAUUAUUUUAAAAAAUAAAAUAAAUAUUGUUCUUAUCAGCGCCAACUGACCCAUAUGGCACGGGAAAUUAAAAGAGUUAUGACUAAAUUAGUAAAAUCGAAAGAUUUAGGUCCAAGACAGCACAAGUUCAGUAAUUUUAUAACUUUUUUGGUAAUUUUCUCGAAGUAAUUUGAUACCCUCCCAUAGAAGAGAGAUAAUUCAACAAUCAAGCUAAUUGGGUCGCGAAUAUUGCCUUAUUUUGGUUCAAUUCAUCUCUAGCAAUAACUUGAAUGAAUAAUAGCUCUAACUCCUACCGAUUAUGUAGCAAUCUCGAAAACUCAAAUUCAUCCAAGACCUAACCAAUUUGGUCAACCUCGAUCACUUCUCGUGCCGUGCACAAAUUUUCUUCCUCCACAAGUUUGAUUUUUCAAGUCUAAUUUAUGUCUAACAUUUCAGCUGCGAGUCCAAUUUAUUGCAUGCAUUGAAAUCGAGCUGAACCAUGUCAUGAGAAGAAAUUACGAAGAGACAACAGUAUGGACAAUAGGCAUACCCACAUUUUUGGCAAUUAUAGUGGUACAAAAGAACAUCCGGGACACCACCCACCUGGGUGGCGUUGCUGGCUUUGGGCCCUCUCCCCCUCGUGAAGGGGAGGGCUUCAAAUCCCCAGUGCGUCGCAGGGUGAUUUAACUGCUGGCGUGAGUAUGGUGGCCAGCUUGCGUCAGCCCCAGGUUCUUUCCGCCGGCUGUCGACUUUCGGGGUUUCUUGGGUCAUCAAAAAAAAAAAAAAAAGAACAUCCGGGACCAAAAUUAUCCUUUCAUGAGGCCGCCACAAUUAUGUUAGCCAUGUCAAAAUUAAAUUACCAAAUCAAAAUAUAUUCUUUCUGUUUGGUAACCAAAUUAACAAAAUAGGUAAUUACCAAUAUAAAUUACAUGGAUUCUAACGUAGUUCUAAAUUAUUUUGAUAAUUUAACGUAGUUCUAAAUCUUUAGGAGUUUGUCGCUAGAUAUUUGACCAAAUAGGAUCACGUGAAAUCUACUAUAUGGCAUAAUAAUUUAGUUAUUGUCGGCCAGUCGUACCAAGCGGUGUUGGCCGGCGAUCGAAAAAUCAAAGGGAUAAUAAAUAGGGGCGAAUUGUUUGACGAUAAGAUUGACAAAAGCAAGUGGGGUUCGGCCUUGGCAUGAUUGAAUGCGUGUUUUCUUCGAGCGUUGACCGUGAGAUUUGUCCGCUUGUGUGCCGACUCCUCCCCCACGCGCCGCCACUUCAGGCGCGUGAUACUCCCCUUGGAAUUUACGAGGGCUCGGCGGAGGCGGCUGCUUGCUUGGGAGGUGGGAAAGAGAGAGAGAGAAGGGAGCGUGAAACGACCUCGUUUUUCUCACCGGCGCAUGAUCCGGCCACGUCAGUUCACAACUUAACAUUUUAAUAGAGAGAACAAACGGCAGUUUAAAAAAAUUUGAAGUGAAAAUGGAAGGUUUGAUAGAAGAUUUAAAGGGUCGAGAUAUUUUUUUAGAAGUUGACCAAAAGUCAGCUUAUUGGAAGAUAUUGACCCUGCUAUUUUGAUUGUAUAUUCUAUUCAGAAGUUUUUUAAUUUAGUAUACCUUGUACCUCAUCAUAAUUAGUAAAAGAUAUGGAUGAUCAGUUUUAAUAAGAGUGGGUUUCAAAUCAAGAAUUGGAAACUUAUCCUAGUAAAGCCACUUCCCCAUUACCUGCUUAUGCUAGAAUGCUUAAACUUUUUUUAUUUUUCCGCAAAAGUUCUCAAUGAUGUGACUCUUAGGGUUUGGCUUAAGGUCGAUUCUCGAGUUGAAUCGAUCAGCUCAAGGCCAAGAAACCGGUCAAGGCUAGGUCCCAAGUUUUCUAUUUGAGAAUUGAACUGGUAUUUGUGUGGACGUGUUUGUAGUCAACUGAGUAAGACUCGUGAGGAUACUUAAUAAAGGACAACCCACAAAUAUGUCGUGCUUCCUCUAAACUUUUCAUUAUUGAACAAGAGAAUCCCAUUUUUCAAUCACACUUUAACUUGACUGUGCCAUGAGACGCGACAUGCAUGAAAAGAAGCCAUUUUUCAACGUCCACCUAAAAUCAAUCGAUAACUUAAUUUGACUUGCCUGAUCAAAGAGGAUGUUUAUCUAUAUGGAUCAAUAAUUGGAAACUGUCCAAUCAGGAUACGAUGGUGACAUUUCGGUCACUCAGACACAAUUAUAUUCCUUUCCAAUAAAAUAAGUAAUUACAGACACAUGACUAUAGCAUUCGCAUUGUAAUAAUUGGCAUCCUCCUAUUUAAACAAAAAAAAAAAUUAAUCAAUUUUGAUGGUUGUAUGACCACAUCAAAAGGCCCAUCAAAAUGGCGACCGUGCAUCCACGCCCUUACGCAUGCAUGCAUGCAAAAUCAUCCAAGCAAAUUGUUGGUGCGGAUAUGAUUGUCCAAAAAAUUAUAAACUAAUUGGUCAGUGGUUAAUUCGAUCUUAAAUUUUUCAGUUAUGUCAAUUUAGUCAUAAAUAUUUGAUAAUUUGUCAAUUUAAUCAUAAAUCUUUCAUUGUAUUUAUUUAGUUAUAAACCUUUUUAAAAAUUUCCAAUUUUGUCGUAAACAUUUUGACGAUUUUUUAGUUUAAUCUUACAUGGCAUUGUUGAACGCUGACAUUGAUAAUUUUUUUAUAAUUUUUAAUAAAAUUUUGAAUAUUUUAUUUCCUUUUUUCUUUUCUUUUCUCUUUUCAUUCAUGGUUAAGACUGGUAGGGGGCCGUUGGCUACCGGCUAAGGCCUACUGACCCAUUGCGAAAAGCAAAAAAUACAAAAAUGUUAUAAAUGGCAUCACCACUAAAAGAUGAUUCUUCCGGAUACUGCAAUUCGAGAUUAUUUAUUUGGACAAACAUGCAAUGGAGCGAACAAAGAAAAUUAUUAAUGAAAAAUUUAAAAAAGUCUACUUAAAAUCGAGCUUGAGAGACGGGUGGCACUUGUCUAAUUGGAGUCAUUUUCUAACGGAUCCUAAAUGGUUUGUCUCGUGGCUCAAAUUUGUCCCUCUCUUUUCUGACCCUACUCACACACCAUCAAUACGCACUUCUUGAUAAAUAGAUGAACCAAAAAGAAUGACAAUUUUGGUCGAUGUCACAGCGCAAGGACGACAGAAUAUUAGGAUGUCACAAUUCAAGUCUUCUACAAAUCGGCCAACUAGCAUAUUGGUAGACCCUUUUGCAUUGCGUGCAUUAUUUGGCUUUUCUUUGUCGUUGCAAUUCAUUCUUUAAAUGCGCAUAUGAAAUUAGAUCUCUAUUGGAACGGCGUUUGGUUAUAAGACCACAUCAAAAUGAUGGGCGAGCGCACGUCAUGCCCUUCGAAUUAAAUUUCUCUCACCCUUUUUUAUUCGUGUUGAAAGAAAAAAAGAAGAUGCAUGUGUCACGGGCCGAUCGAACCUCUUGGACAUGCUAACUUUCGGGCCGUGACACAUGCAUGCAAAGUCAUUGCAGCAAAUUAUUGGUGGGAAUAUUUUAAAUGCAUUCAUGCACAGCACACAGCUGAUGUCAUACAAAGAACAACUUAGGCGAAUUUUUAUAUUUUUUAAAAAUAUGUAUGACGUAGGAAAUUGCAAGGUUUGGGAUAAAUUAGUAAAAUUGAAAGAUUUAGGUCCGAGUUGGCAAAAGUGCAAUAAUUUUAAGAUUUAUUUGGUAAUUUUCUCAAAGUAGUUUGAUACCCUCCGAUAGAAAAGAGACAAUCCAGCAAUCAAGCUGAUCGAGUAUUAAUAUUGCCAUAUUUGGUUUAAUCUAUCUCUCGCAAUAUCUCGAAUGAAACCAAUAGUUAUAACUCUUAAGGGUUAUAUAACACUUAAGGGUUAUAUAACACUGUUAUAAUAACAGUCCUCAAAACUCAAAUCUCAUCCAAGACCUAACCAAUUCGGUCAACCUCGAGCACUCUUGCUAUGCACAAAUAUUCAUCCUCCACAGGUUUUAUUUUUCAAUUCCAAUUUAUAUCUCUUAACAUUUUCAGCUGCAAGUCCAAUUUAUUACAUGCAAUGAAAUCAAGCUGAACCAUGCCAUGAGAAGAAGGUGCGGGCAAAAGUGAAUAUGAAGAGACAACAGUACUAGGGACGAGGUGGAGGGAAGAUGUGAGGUACGGACAAAAGGCACACCCACAUUUUUGGCAUUUAUAGCGGCACAAAAAAACAUUCGGGGCCAAACUUAUCCUUUCAUAAGGCUGCCAUAACUAUAUUAGGCAUGUUAAAAUUAAUUGCCAAAUCAAAAUAUACUCUUUAUCAAUGUAUUUUACGUAACAGCAUAAGUAAUUAUUAAUUGCACAGAUUUUAAGGUAUUUCUGAAUAUUUUAAUUUUUUUAAUGUAGUUCUAAACAUUUACAUGAAGUUGCUAACAUAAUGAUCUGGUUAUUGUCGGCCAUACUAAUCAUGGCUAGCGAUCAAAAAAUCAAAUGAAUGAUAUAGAGGGGCGAAAUGUGGACGAAAAUUUGAUAAAAGCAAGGGAAAUUGGCCUUGGCAUGUUGCCUCUCACGUGACAUAAUUAAUGUUAACACAUAAUUAAUAUUAACGUAGACAAAUUUUAUAAUUUUUUUCAUAUUUUUUAUAUUUAUUAAUUUUUUAUUUUCUUUUUUCCAUUGUGACUGGCAAGAAUCACUGGUAGGACGGACAGCGUCUAUGUCAAUGAUUCUUGAUCAAAAUUAGCCAAAUGGAUUCAAUCAGCAUAAAUAUAAAAUCUUUAGAAUUGAAUUGGUACAAAUACAAUAGAUUUAUAACUUUUUUCAUACUUUCAUCUCUAAAUUUAUUGUACGGAUUCUAACGUAGUCCUAAAUUUUUUUAUUAUUCCGAUGUAGUUAUAAACCUUUAGGUGAAAUCUAGUAUAAUCUCUCCGGUUCAUUAUUGCUCGGAGUUGCUCAUUUGAAAUCUAAUUAGCGUCGGCUGUACUAAGCGAUAUGACUGGGGAGCGAAAAAUCAAAGGGAUGAUAAAGAGGGACGAAAUGUUGGACGACAAACUUGACCGAAGCAAGUGGGGUUUGGCCUUUGGCAAGAUGCAUGUGUGUUUUCUUCAAGUGCUCACCCUGAAAUUGUCCGCUCGUGUUCCGACUCCGGCCCACGCGCCGCCCCACGGGCCACCACUUCAGGCACGUGAUACUCGCCAUGGAAUUUAUGAGGGCUCGGCAGAGGCGGCUGCUUGGUUGGGAGGCCGGAGAGAGAGAGAAGGGAGUGUGAAAUGACAUCGUUUUGCUCAUCAACGCAUGUUAAAGUAUGGACCGGUCACAUAAUAAUAAUAGGAUAAAUUUGAAGUAAACAUGAAAGGUUGGGUAUAGAUCUAAGGGGCCAAGGUAUUUUUCAAAAGUUUACUAAAAGUCAGCUUAUAUUAAGCCAACGACCCAGCUGUUUUCUAUUCUAGUGAAAUUUUUAUAAUUUAAUGUAUUUUGUACUGAAUAUUUUCUUGAUCCUAACCAUGAUUAGUAAAAGAUAGGGGUGAUUAGCCUUUAGUAGGUACAUUUCAGAUCGGGAAUCAUUCCAGAUCAAGAAUCGAGAACCUACUAUGUCAAAGCCGCUUCUCAAUUGCCUGCUUAUGCUAGAAUGCUCAACUUUCUACUUUUUUUUUUGUAAAAAAUUCUCAAUUAAGUGACUCUUCCUUGAUUGAAAGUUCCGCUCCGGAAUUGACAAGUUACAUGCUUUAUAUGAAGUAACCUAUGAGGUUUGUUUUAAGGCCAGUUUCCGAGUAAAAUUGAUCAAUUCAAAGCCAAAAAACCGGUCAAGGCUGGUUCUCAAAUGUUCAAUUCAGGAAUUGAGUGCCCCUCGUGUAAACGUGUUUAUAGUCCGCUAAGUAAGACCAGUACGGAUCCUUAAUAGAGGACGACUCUAAAUUUGUCGUGUUGCCUCUAACCUUUUCAUUAUUGAACAUGGGAACCACAUUUUUUAAUCGCAUUUGAACUUGACAGUGUUCUGAGACAUGACAUGAAUGGAAAUGAGCCAUAUUCAACGUCCACCCAAAAAAAAAAAAAAACAAUAAUUUAAUUUGACUUGCCUAAUCAAAGAGGUCGGUUGUUUGUCUAUAUGGAGCAAUAAUUGACUGUCCAAUCAGGAUGCGAUGGUAACCAUUUUGAUCACGCAGAUAUAAUUAUAUUCCUUUUCAAUAAAAAUAAAUAAUUAUAGACACAUAACUGUACAGCAUUCGCAUUGUAAUAAUGACAUCUCCUAUUUAAACAGAAAAAAGAACUAAUCAUUGCCUCUUCCGCCAACGUAAGGUUGAAUGAUGUAUUGAAAGUCUCGCACUUGUCAUGAUCAUAUGUGAUAUUAAAAUAGACACACUAACUAACUAAAACCUUAUCGUUUAAGCACACCUUUAAAUUCGAAUGUGGUAGGCUUUAAAUAGUCUCGAUUUUACAACGUGUCUGAUAUUUUAUUUUAUAUCGUUCCAUAAUUGCUAAAACCAGCGAACGUGUAUGUCGUGGCUGUAACAUGGAAGUGACCCGACGGCGAGGUUUCCUAACCUUAGCUGGAACUAAAAAAGUUAUGCUAUAUUAAGAAGAAGGAAAAAUAAAAAGAGGAAAGAUGAAAGUUUGGAUGAAAAAUGAGAGAAAGAGCUUGAGGUACAGAUGACAGUUGCCUUAUUAGACUUUCUCUUUAUUGGAUCCUCAAUGGUUAGCUUCGCGGCUCAAAUUCAUCCUCUCCUUUUUCGAACCCACCCUCAUCACUAUCUACACCUAACUUCAUAAUGUUUCGACGUAACUUAUACAUCAUAUAUUACCAAGAGGAUAACGAUUUUGUACAACACAAGGACAAUAGAAUGCUGCAAUUUGUGUGCUAUUUGUUUCAAUUUGGUCCAAAUCUACUACAUGCAUCUCUAAACCUAACUUAUCGGUUAGCAUGUUAUUGACAUAUCAUGGCGAAAUCAAUCACGCUGUUGUGACUAUAGUGAUGGAAGAGUCCUAUAUUUUCAUUAUGCUAUCAUGGCGAAAUCAAUCACGCUGUUGUGACUAUAGUGAUGGAAGAGUCCUAUAUUUUCAUUAUGCUAGUCUAAUUCUUCCAAUUAUCAAUUUUUCUAACGAUAAUCAUGGAAACAUUUUUACUACUAUAGAAGCUUAUCUAGGUCCUAGAGUCUUUGUUUAUAUUUAGUUUUCAUUCCGUGUUCUAGUGUUAUAACUGUAUAUAUUAUCUCAAUUCAGGGAUGCAAAUAUGACAUUCUAUAGAAGUUGGAGAGUCAAUAUGUGUCUUCUCCAAACUUUCGGAAGAAAUAAAAUGUCCGCUGUAUUAAAUUCUUUUAAAUUCGUAAAUAUAUAUAAUAUAUAUUAAACCUUUUUAAGUGUUGUUAUUUAUUGGAUUUCAAAAAAGAAAAAUCCAAGAAAGACAUAAAGUAAAACGAAAUAAUCAUGAUAUACGCCACUCCAAACACGUACCAAAAUUGAGAAAGUAUAUAAAUAUGUAGAAUUUGGAAUGAACGUUCGGAAAAAAACAUAUGUAUAUAUAUAUUUUCCUUACCAAAAAAAAAAAACACAUAGCAAAUUGACUAAAAAAAAACAUAUAGCAAAUGAUUGGUAGGGUGUUGGUAAAAGAACACAUCAAAAGGCCCAUCAAAAUGAUUGCCAAACGUGCAACGCAUUUAUGCAAAACUAUUCAAUCAAAUCAUGGUGGGGAUAUGCAAUGCACCGACGCAAAGCUCAAAUGAUGUGAAAACUCGUGUCUUAGAACUAAUUGAUUCAUGGUAUCUACCUUGAUUGCCAUUGCUAUGCGCAAAUUUCAUCCUCUAUAAGUUUUUUUCCUUAAAAAGCAUAUUGUCAAUACAAAAAAUAUAAAUUCAUAUCACGUGUUGACAUGUACGUAUUUUAAUGUAUGGUGAAUUUAGCUCAAUAGUAUUAAUUUGAGAAUUUUUGUAAAGAGAAAAAUAUUUUAUAAUAAAUGUGCCAUGCAUGCAUUGGUUAGAAAUUUUUUAAGAUAGAGAUAUUUAUUUGGAAUUUUUAAUGAUAUUAACACUGUUAUAUAUCUAAGCAUUAGUCAAGCUGGGAUGACUCCAUAAAGAAAUCCAACUACGAAAAGUACUCCUAAUAAUUUUAUCAGAAGGGACCUGUUGAAGAUUGGACCGGCUUAAAGGGCCCCACCCAGCGAGUGUAUGAGAAGCCGACACGUGUAAAACAGGUUGAAAAAUCGAAAAAUCGAAGGGACGGUAAGGAGGUAAGGAGGGGGCAAAAUGCUUGACGACAAACUUGGUAAAAAGCACGUGGGUUUUGGCCUUGGCAUGAAGCGCGUGUUUUCUUCGAGCGUUGACCAUGAGAUUGUCCCCUUGCGUACCGACUCCUCCCACGCGCCGCUGCUUCACGCCCGUGGCACUCGCCUUGCGUUGUUUUUUUAAAAUAAUAUAACAAAAAACUCCAAAUCGAUAUAUCUAUCGUAAAUUUAUCUCAAGUUAAAUUUUUUAUCAUAAAAAGAUCUCAAAUUAAUAAUCUUAUAAUAAAUUUACUCACUUAGUUUUUGUUAAAUUUAAUUUGACAUGGUAGUUGACAAGUGUAUUGAUUUUGAGUUUUACCCUCUAUUUGUCACAUAUGUAAUAGUUUAUAAUUUUUUUGUGGUAUUAAUUCAAUUUAAUAUAAAUUUUACAAGACAAAUUUGUCAUAAAUUUAUUAUUUUAAGGAUUUUGGUAAUUAAAAAUUAAUUUGGAAUAAAUUUAUUAUACUGUAACAUUCAAGACUUUGUACGAUUAAAAAAAAUUAAAUUUAUCACAAGUGUACCAAUUUGAGACUUUUAUGGUAUUAAUUCUUUCUUUUUUUUAUUAUCAUAUAGACGAGGUGGUUUAUAAUGAUAAUAUCGAUGAUUAUCAAAGAACAUUAAUUUGUUUCAGUGAUUUACAUGAUAAAAUUACUGCGAGUUUCUAUUGGACAGUCAUGAAUUUUGCCGGUAAUUGUUAAUUUAUUGGGAAAAUAUUAAUAGGCCAUCCAAAUUUCAUCCAUGCAAACUGGCUGACGAAGACUCAAGAAGGAAAAAAAACAAAAAUGAUAUUCAAAUCGAUAUUAAUAUUAUAAUCCGUUCGGUCAAUUGUCGGCUUCAAUCUUGCACGAUCGGUCACUUUUGAACGUGUUGGCCGGCCCAACCUAAUUAAUUUGCAUGAGUCGUCUAUUUCGGUAAUGUGCAUGCACCAUGUGAUUUUUUUGUUUUUAUUUUAUAAGUGAUUCUGGACACAGUUUGUCUCGUUGUCAUAUGCAAUUCUCAAGACAUUAAUGAUCUUAUCCAGACCACCGACCAAGGUGGCGUGGAUGGUAGAUCCUUGGCCCUCCCCGGUGGAGGCCAAGGUUCGAAGCCCCUGCGGAGGCAGUCUUAGCUACAUGGUGACUUAAGCGUGACGUCGGGGUGGUGGUUUCCCUGCUAGCGUCACCGGGAGGUUUACGGCGCACUGUCGGUGCAAGCUGGUUCCUCCUGCACCAAAAAAAAAAUAAUCUUAUCCAGUCUUUUCCACAAUUAUUCUAAUGGAAUAAUCAACUACUCAAAUCAUGUGUCAUUAUGGGUUUCGAUUAUAGUUAUUUAAUCAUAUCUUUUGACAAUUAGAAGAAAAGAAAACAGAAAAGGCUAAGUUCCAAAGUAAGUACAAUCGAUUUGUUUCGCAAAAAAUAAAUAAUUUUAGAUAUAUUUUCUAAAAUAUUAUCAUUUAUAACACUUAAAAUAAUUAAUUAAUAAAAAACAUUUUAACUAUCAAUCAUAAUUCAUAUUUAAACAUUUUUACAAACAAAAUUAGCUUGCACCAUUUCAAGUACAAGUUGGGCAGUCACUGCUAGGGGUGGCAAAUUGGUGGAUCGGGUCAGUUCAGGUAUGUGUCGGGUCGAAAAUGGAUCGACCUAUAUUUGACCAGUUUAAUCUGUUUUUAUCCAUAUUUUUGUAGUAUAAAUCUAAUGAUUUAUAUCCGACCCGACCCGUGCUGAGAAACCCUCUCACACCCAUGGUCCGACACUUCCAAUCCAAGUACCUCGGGCCAGGAAUUUCUUGAUCAGGUCCGAACCCGAUAGGUCGAGUGAACGGCGGUCGUUGAUCUCGUGGAGGGAUCGACGGUUGUGAUUCAUUUACUCUCAUUAGACGCGUGUCAAGGCUAAGUAAUAGUCAUUGCGGUCCAGGGGGGAAGUAAUAAUUGUCUGGCGUCAUCCGAAAAUGGUGCCUAUUUUUCACCCACUGCGCGACAGCUUUUUGUCCGUCCUUUGCUCCCGAAUUGGCAAGCCUCCCCAUCGUUCGAUAUAAGAUAAGAUAAGGAAGCAGUGUCAAUGUGUCAUAGGAUGAAUGGCAUUGUCGUUUUGUGAUAAUUUGCUGAUUCUUGUUCCUAAUCUAAAGGGAUGGUAACAGCUCACUUCUUUUAAGGAAUAUCCCCAAAGUACUUUAUUAAAACAUUUUUAAAAGAAUUAUGUUCAAUUUUCGAAAUAUUAAUUUUACAUAUCGUGAGUACGCUUAAUGCAUUAAGAAUUACAAUACUCCCGUGUCUAGUUAUUUAACAAGCGUCGCAUAUGGACUUUAAGAAAAUUAAUAACAAUGUUUUAGGCUAAAGUCUUGUGCUUGCUACUUGAUAUACAUGAAUAUUUUAUUUGAGUAUUUGCAAAGGAAGAUCAGCUUUGUUAGUGAAUAAAUUAGGCAAAACGGCAUAAGUUCGAUUUCUCGCAUCACUUAAAUAAUAAUAAUAAUAAUAAUAAUAAUAAUCCGGUGCAUAUCAGCCCAAAUGGCAAUCACUCGAAACUCAAGGCAAAACUUUGGUUGACAUUUUAUUAAACCUUAAAACUAGUGGUUGUAUCAUUAGGUGGGGGAUUUAUCUAGACAUUACUCUUCACAAGAAAAUAUUUCCUAUGUAAGUAACUUUUUCACACCUAAUCAUGGUCGGCAUUUUGUAAAAUUGUGUCAUAAAGGUACUUGAGAUUCAUGUUACCUCGGCUAUGAUUUUGAUAAUAAAAUCAAACAAUUAAUUAACAAUGAACACGUGUUGAUUUGAAUCAACGUAUGGAUUAAUUAUAUCUUCUCGUACUAUGUCAAACUAUUUCCUUUAAAUUCAUCUCUUGUCCGGAACGGUGAUCAUAUCAUGCAAAUGGGUCAUGUCCAAAAAUUAUGAGCACAAAGUCCUUUCAAGGGAGUUUAUGUGCUCCAUUAUUAGAGAUAAGAAUAUAGAAAUUUGGAGAAAGAAACCAAAAACGAAAGAGAGUUCGAUUUUGUCGGGUCUACACCCAAAUCUAGGAAAAAGCGGGGAGGCCUUGGGAAGAUGGGAUAAUGCACACACACAUCCUUUUUUACUCUCCCAUGUAUGCCAGCUAAUGUAGGAAUUGGAUGCAUUCUAAGUCCCCCAUGGCUUACCUUCCCUUUGUGGUCCUCAAAAUUCCCCUUCUUUCCCAACUUUGAUUGUGAUGGAAUUCUAGGCUUGCCACUCCCAAAUAAGAGAUGACAAUUGGGUCGCNNNNNNNNNNNNNNNNNNNNNNNNNNNNNNNNNNNNNNNNNNNNNNNNNNNNNNNNNNNNNNNNNNNNNNNNNNNNNNNNNNNNNNNNNNNNNNNNNNNNCGGGAAUGAAAACUAAAUAUAAACAAAGUCUCUAGGUCCUAGAUAAGCUUCUAUAGUAGUAAAAAUGUUCCCAUGAUCACCGUUAGAAAAAUUGAUAAUUGGAAGAAUUAGACUACCAUAAUGAAAUAUAGGACUCUUCCCAUCACGAUAGUCACAACAGCGUGAUUGAUUCCCCCAUGAUAGCAUAAUGAAAAAUAUAGGACUCUUCCAUCACGAUAGUCACAACAGCGUGAUUGAUUUCGCCCUUGAUAUGUCAAUAACAUGCUAACCGAUAAGUUAGGUUUAGAGAUGCAUGUAGUAGAUUUGGACCAAAUUGAAACAAAUAGCACACAAAUUGCAGCAUUCUAUUGUCCGGGGGUGGUGGGGGGUGGGGCUGGGUGGGGGCGGUGGGGCGGCGUUUGGGAAGGUGGGAUAAUGCACACAUAGAUCCUUUUUGACUCUCCCAUGUAUGCCAGCUAAUGUAGGAAUUGGAUGCAUUCUAAGCCCCCCAUGGCUUAGCUCCCUUUGUGGUCCUCAAAAUUCCCCUUCUUUUAGGCUUGCCGCUCCCAAACAAGAAAUGGGAAUUGGGUCUCUUGCUCUUUCAUUCUUCUUUUUUUUUCCCCAAAAAUUUUACCGGAUGGUAUCUAGUUUUGUUAACGAGUGUCUCGAAACACUAGUUAAUUGCAUUUGGUAAAGAGCUAUACCGAUUUCCAAUGUGUUGCUUUCGCAUAACAUGAGAAAGACAUGUAUUGUAAAAGAGAGUCUUUCCUAAUUUGGAUGUUUAAUAAGUGCCAUUAAGGAAAUUGUCCAAAAAAUUAUAAACUUAUUGUAUGGUGGCUAAUUUAGUCCUGAAAUAGUCAAUUUUGCUAAUUUAGUCUUGAACAUUUUGAUAACUUGCAAAUUUAAUUUUAGACUUUUUAACGAUUUGCCAAUUUCCCAAAAAUUAUUAACAUAUUGUUUAGUAAUCAAUUUAGUCAUAAAAUUUUCAAUUUUACUAAUUUAGUUAUAAACAUUUUUAAUGAUUUGCUAAUUUAAUCAUUUUAGUCAAUUUUGGUUGGAAAUCUCUGACGUGGCAACUGUUGACAUAAUAAGAUUUUCUUUUGAAUUUUUUAGAAAGAAAGAAAAAAAGAAGAUAAAGAUAAAGAAAAAAAUUAUAAAAAAAUGUAAAAAUUAUUCAUGUCUGCGCCAAUCAUGCUACGUAAGAUGGUGAACACUAAUAAUAAGCUUAGGAAUAAUUUGAUAAUAUUGAAAAUUUUAGAUUAAAUUGGCCGUUGGACAAUAGGUUUAAAAUUUUUUGGACUACAAAUCCCAUUGGCUAUUGUUUAUGAUAUACCAAUAUGGAAUACUUUCAGUUACUAUAAUAUAUAUAACACUUUAAUAGUAAUAUAAACAAUUAAUAUUUUAAAGAUCAUCUACUUCAUCUUGGACCAUGUUUAACAAAUAUUCAGAGGCUUAUUAACUGGACAUUUUACACACAACCUCUUUUAUCUCUCAAGAGUUAGAUAUAUAUACACACCCCCAUACAAGGUCUGUUUAUUUAGACUUUUUAAAAGUUCAAAGAAAAAAAUUAGUUUCUCAUUGUGACUUAAUAGCCAAUUUAAAAUUUUGUAAUUAUAAAAAAUAUAAUGGAAAUGUAUUCAUAUAAUCUGAAAGACUUUUGAAUAUUUGUUGAAUAAAUAUUAAAUCAAACCAAGUAAAUUAAUUCAUUAAGGAUUUUGAAAACGUACCCAUAGAUAUUUGAUAAAAUGAAUUAAUUAUGUUUUCAAAUUUGUAUUUCUAUUUAUGCCAUCAUAAAAAGAGAAUAAACUUCCACUCUUUAAUUUUUUUAAUUGAUCUCUCCAAAUUGAGGGAUCAUUUGUGUCAUUUACCUUAAUAUUUUCUUAAUAGUUAAGUACAAAAAAUCAUUGAUACAACCACCCCAUGUGGUGGCGGCGUUGGUUUGGGCUUUGUCCUCCUCACGACGAGGACAAGUUCGAAUCCUAACAUCGUCAUUUGUGGACUUACCUAUGAUGUCAGGGUGGUGGUUUCCUUGGCGUCGCUUUAGGGUUUACUCAUCGGCUGCCGGCUAUACGAGGUCUCUUGGGUCACAAAAAAAAUAAAAUUAUUGAUACAUUUGAAACACAUUUAUACCAUACUAAUCCAAAACUAAUACAACCAUAACAAAUUUACCAUGUCUCAUCAAAUUGAUUAAUCAGAUGACAUGUGAUAGUUGAUGGAUGAACUGACUUGGGGUUUUAUCCUUCGAUUGUCACAAGUAUCGGUUUAUGGUUUUUCUUUAUAGUAAUCAAAUUUAAUAGAAACUAAUAAAAAAAUUUAUUUGGCUAAAGGUGUAGUAGGUAUCCUAGUUUGAAUUUUCAGCGGUUAAAAAAUAAAUUUAGAAUAAAUUUAUUAUAUAUUUACUAAUUUGAAGGAUUUUUUUUUUGCGAUAUUAAUUACUUUCUUAAAUUUAUGUUUGUAGGACUGCCCAUACGCAAGAGCAAAAGUAGGGAAGUCAGAGACUCUUUUAAGAGCUGAAGACUAGGUAUCAAUGAGUUUCGUGGGACUUGAGGCUUCUGCAGAGAACGAAAGACAGAAGACGCGACAAGUGAUGAUGAUGCGAGAGGAGAGAAGAGAGUCAGUGCAGAACUGUACAAAUUAAUUGCAUGAGAUCAUCCAAUCAAUCGAGCAAAGGUCGGGUCUAAUCUCAUCUGAUCUUAACUCGUGCCGGAGCAAAUCAAUACGUGAUUCUGCGAACUGUCUUUUCUAAUCACGGCCACGUCCGAUCCGAUCCGAUCGGAACAAUCAUGGGGCGAGAUUGGACUGAAGUCAUGGUGAGAUGCGUUGUCCUCAAUUGGAACGUCAUACCCUUUCUUUGGAAGUGUAUAGAAAAGGAAUGGGUUUCGGAUUGUGCUCUUCUAGGGACUUAUUUGAAAAGAAAACAUGUUGCUUCUUCCAAUUUUAUUUUUAGCUACAAGUUAAAUAUUUUCAAAUCCAAUCAGAAAGUUUCGGAGACUCAAAGAUCUUGAGAUUGAUCAUUGGUAUUUGGAGGCAAAAAGGCAAUUCUUCUAGGCGGAGGAUAGGGCUACAUUUUAGAACAACAAACCUGUCUUGGAUUUACAUUAGUUUUUAGUGUAUCUAAAAUUGUAGAGAAAAACUAAUGGCAAUGUCUACAAUACAUGUCUGCAAUACUACUUUGUUAAUCAAUAUAUCUUUUGAAAUAUUCAUGUUCUUUUUUAUAUAGGAUUUAGAUACAUUUUAUAUAUGUGUGAUCUCUUUCAACCUAAUAUAUAAAUUUCUAAAUCAGACAUUUUAAUAAUAUCAACAAGGACAAUUUUGACAAAAAAAGAAAAAGACGACGAUUGCUACAUUUGGAAAAUUCUUUUUCAUCGGUUUUAAAAAAUGUGUCAUUUUCCAUGCUUGAUAAGGGCCUGCUUGUUUUUACUCCAAAUAGUGUUUGAUUUUUUUUUUUGCUCUAAAAAAAAAGAACAAAAAUCCGUUUGGUAAAAUUUAAUUCCCAGAAACAAAAAUUUAUUUAUUUUAUUCCCGAGAAUAGAUUUGAAACAAAAUCAAAAAGUAGAAAAAAAUAAUUUCUUAUUCCCAAAAACAAUUCUUAGAAUUUGUUCAUAUUUUUUUCCUUUCUUCUAUUUUCUAUUUUCUUUUUUCUCUUCUUCUUCUUCCUUUGGGCCGGUCGUCGGCCCUGGCUAUGACCAGCGACCUCGCCAAAGUGUUGCCGGUCCUUGGCGACGCCGAGCCUCGCCAGUGGCCAUGCUCACCUGGCCACGGGCGAGGCUCAACCUCACCAAAAUAUGGCGAGGCCAAGGCUUGUCGGACCUCACCCUAGCUUAGCGAGGCUCCAGCGAGCUCGUCGAACUCGUCCAGCAGGUCGUUGACCACCACCGUGGCCAGCAACAAGCUACAAAGAAGAAGGAGGAAGAAGAGAAAAAGAAAAAGAAUAAAAAUAUAUAAGUAUUAAAAAAUUAAAAGAAACAAAUAAUUUAAAAAUUUUACCAAACACAUUUCUAUAAUGAGAAUAGAAAUUUUGGACAGUUAUCAAGCGCAUUUUUUUGCUCGGAAAUUAUUCUCGGGAACAAAAUCAGAAAAAAUCAUAUUUGAUCAAAAUGUUAUCCGGAACAAAAUAGUUACCGAACGCGCCCUAAGAGUCCAUAAUAGUUCACAAAUUAAUAGUUGGCAUCUUUUUAUUUUAGUAUUUUUAGCAUCUAAAUAAUCAAACAUAAUAUCACCUAAUUUAUUUUUUAUUAAUUUCUCUUUUGGGGGCUCUCUUCAAAAUUGGCGUGCAGGGGGUGGGGGGUCCGGAGCUCCUAAAGGUCACGGGGUCGCCGUCAAUAACCUACUAAAGCCUCCCUGCCUUACAGGUUACAGCCCAGACCGCCACGUCACCCCUACAGCCUGGCAGAGACUCCCAUCCCUGCAUCCCCCGACCAAUCGCUUCACUCCACGUGGCACUCCCUUGACGUUGACCCUGAUUCUUUGUCUUCACGAGACUGUAUUUUGCGCACGCCAAUUAAUAAAUUAUUGCGCGCACGAGUAUCCUACGCCACUACAUUGUACCGAAUACCUUAAAAAAACCCAAAAGCUUGGACAUAAAAAUGGUCAUCGUCGUUCUCUUUUUCUUUUUUCUUUUUUUCAAUUUAAAGAGAGAAAAAGAUUGACGCGACGUUUUUUAUUAUAAAUAAAUUAAAAAAAAAAUUGAAAUGAAGGACCCGAAGAGGACACGUUAGGUAUGCUCUUUUUCCCUCGCUAUAAAUUACUUUCCCUCCCACGUUAAAAUUAGCAAUCACUUCUCUCAGUUUUAUUAAUAACUAAUGUCCCAUCAUCAUUGUUCACGUCACCUACCCCCUAGAAUUUUGGGUACCUACCCCCUAGAAUUUUGGGUAGGAAGUACAUGUACGUCCAAUCUCGUGCAAGAGUAGGAGAUACUUUUGCUUUCGAAUCUUUUAAAGAAAAGGCUAGUUCUGUCCAGCAAAUAGAUUUUUUUGGGAGGGUGUCUAGGCCUUAAAAUGAGCGUAGAUCUAACAAGACAUGACAUUCAUAGUUUUUAAUGAAUCUUGUCUCAUUUCUCUUUCUUCAUAUGAAUUAUUUUCAUCAUUACAACAAUUGAAUUGGACUUGAAUCAAUCAAAAUCAUUAUGAUUAUGUAAGUGCUCUAACACUCAAUCACAAAAAUUACACUUAAUUUAUAGAUUCAAGUUUAGCUAGGAAUUAUCAUUCUACAGACACAAAGAAUAAUCGACUUUACCUAUAAUUGAUUCGACACAAUAUUUGAUUUAAUCGCAUUAUCACAAUAGAUACACUACCACACCUAAAUUGGCCAUAUUCAUAUGUAUCGAAAAUCAAUUUGGCUACGGCCAGGAAAAAAAAGGAAGCGGUUUCAAUCAACAUUGAUAUACCACAAAGUCAUAAGGAAGCUUCUGACAAAAAAAAAAGAGUCAAAAGGAAGCACAUAAAAAAAAUACUUGGCUAAUCUGUCACAGCUGUUUCCCUCUCCUCCUCCUCUUCCCAAUAUAAAUACCCUCUCCCUUCAUAUCUUUUCCCACUCCUCUCUUUACUCUCCCUAUUCUCUCUGUGAAAGCUUCGAGGCCGCGUCAAUGGCGUCUAACUCACUCGUACUUCCUCUCUUCUUCUUCCUCGUCAUCCUCUUCUCGAGCUCCAUCUCCUCCUCCUCCGCCGCCCUUGUCCAGCAACAACCUCUCGUCCUCAAGUACCACAACGGAGCUCUGCUCAAGGGCAACAUCACCGUCGACCUCGUCUGGUACGGUCGCUUCUCCCCCACCCAGCGAUCCGUCAUCGUCGACUUCAUCCGCUCCCUCGGCUACGCCCGCUCCCCUCCCCCCUCCGCCGCCUCCUGGUGGCGCACCACCGAGAAGUACAAGGGCGGCGGCUCCAACCUCGUCGUCGGGAGGCAGGUCCUCCACGAGGCGUACACCCUCGGGAAGUCCCUCAAGAACCGCCACCUCCGCGCCCUCGCCGGCAAGUUCAAUGCCGCCCCGGGCACCAUCACCGUAGUCCUCACGGCAGCGGACGUCGCCGUGGAGGGGUUCUGCAUGCGGUGCGGGACGCACGGGUCGGCGCGGCCCGGGUCGGCGUUCGUGUGGGUGGGGAACUCGGAGACGCAGUGCCCGGGGCAGUGCGCGUGGCCGUUCCACCAGCCCAUGUACGGCUCGCAGACGCCGCCGCUGGUGGCGCCGAGCGGCGACGUCGGGGCUGACGGCAUGGUGAUCAACCUGGCGACGCUUCUCGCCGGCGCCGUCACGAAUCCGUUCGGGAGCGGGUACUUCCAGGGCCCGGCGGACGCUCCGCUGGAGGCGGUGUCGGCGUGCACGGGGAUAUACGGGUCGGGCGCGUACCCGGGCUACCCAGGCCAGCUGCUGGUGGACAAGGCGACCGGCGCGAGCUACAACGGCCACGGGCUCGGCGGCCGGAAGUUCCUGCUGCCGGCGAUGUGGGACCCGGAGACGUCCGCGUGCAAGACCCUCGUGUGAUUUGGGCUGGGAAUGAGCGACGGUCGGUGUCGUCUGUCGUAAAAUUCGAGCGAUGUGGAAUAACGAUGAAUUCGCUCCUUUUUCUUUGGAGUUUCUCUUUUUUUCCCCCUUAAUUUUUCUUUGGCACCUGUUGUGGUAGGAGUUAAAAUUGGAUCUAAAAAAGGGAAGAAGAAAAUAUGUACAAAUUUCAAAAGUUCAAAUUGAGAGGUGGUGAAAUAUUGUCUUUAUAUAAAGAGUUUAAAACUCGAAUGUAAGUGAUGCACUCUUGGCUUCUUGUUCUUUGUUGAGACAGACAAACACAAUCAAAGCGGGUCACUAUAUUGCCUUAUUUAAUUCAAUUUACCUCUAGCCAUAAUUGGACUGCAAGUACUAGCUAGUUCUUAAUGAAAACUCGAAUUUAAGAGCUUAUUAAUUGACAAUAUUGGACCGCCAGGGAGUUCCUGGAAUUUAGAAGCUCCCCUUCUCCGGAUAGAGGGAUUUUCCCGAGUGGGCUAAUUACCAAUUAAGGACCCGCCACAUUUCUCGUGAAGGAGCUUCGAAGUCCCAAAAAAUUAUCUGGCCGACCAAAAAAAAUUCACAAUAUUGACUGAGCUAGUCAACCUCAGUACCUGGAGAUAUGCACAAAUUUUCAUCCUCUGCAAGAUAAUUUUUCUUCCUGUAACUGUAAGUACAAUUUCUCUCUCUAAAUUUGCUGAGAGUCCAAUUUAUCACAUGCAUUGAAGUCAAGCAAAACGAUGUCACGACAAGGAGGUGUGGCCCAAACUGAUUAUGAAGAGAGAUAAUGUAAGAUGUACAGACAAAGACAACCCUCGUUUAGGCAUUUAUAAGUGUAUGAAAAACAUUCAGGACCAAACUUGUCCUUUGGAAAGCUGCCGCACUAACAACAAGUACCUCAAAAAUUAAUUUACCAGAUUAAAAUAAUAUUAGUUUUGUUGAGUAGUCAGUCAAGUAAAGAUAUUUACAUAACAGGAUUGAUUAUUAUCAAUAAAAAGAAAUUACUAUUUCAAUUGUAACCCUGCUAUACGGAUUCCAAAUAAAGUCGUAAAACCCUUUAGUUAUUUUAGUGUAGCACUGAAUUUUUAUGGGAAAUUCUAAUUAAUCAUUCCGAUUGAUCUCGUCUAAAAUUUGCUAAUACGACGGUCCAGAAAUAUCCAUACAUGGCAAGUUCAAGAAAAUUAAGAAUUAGAGGGAUAAUGGUGAGGGGCAAAAUAUGUGAUGACAAACUUUAAGAAAGCAAAGCGGGUUUUGUUUUCCUCGACUCUUGACAACUCGGCAUUUUAGGGUGCGUUUGGCUGCACCGUGUUUCUGUUCCCAGGAGCAAAAAUUUCUGUUUUUUUGUUCUUUUGUUCCCAGGAACAAAAAAGAAACAGAAACAAGAAACACAAAUUUUGUGUUUCUUGUUUCUGAAACACUUUUGAGAAACACUUAUUUCUUAUUUCUUUUUUCUCUUAUUUUCUUGUUCUUUUUUUCUUUUGGCCGGUCGCCGGCCUCGGCCAUGGGCGGCGACCGGCCGACGAGGGCCGGCGGCCUCGCCCCNNNNNNNNNNNNNNNNNNNNNNNNNNNNNNNNNNNNNNNNNNNNNNNNNNNNNNNNNNNNNNNNNNNNNNNNNNNNNNNNNNNNNNNNNNNNNNNNNNNNUAUUUUUUCUAUUUUUUUCUAUUUUUUUCUUUUUUUUCCUUUUUUUCUUUUUCAUUUUUUUUCUUCUUUUGGCCGGUCGGCCUCGCCUGGCGGUGGCCCGGUGAGGCCGCGCCUCGCCCGCCGCUGGGCGAGCUCGGCCUCGCCGGAUCAAGGCGAGGCCGACCGGCCAAAAGAAGAAAAAAAAAUGAAAAAGAAAAAAAGGAAAAAAAAGAAAAAAAUAGAAAAAAAUAGAAAAAAUAAAAGAAAUAAAAAAAUUAUCCAAAUUUACCAAACAUGUUUCUGUUUAUUUUUUAUUCCCGGAACAAGUUUACCAAACGCGUUGUUUUGUUCAAAAAUUGUUCCCCGGAACAGAAACACUUUUUUCUAUUUCUAUUCCCUAGAACAAUUUUUAAACAGAAACGCAAACAAACGCACCCUUAGUCGCUAUUUUAGGUUUAGUUGUAUGCAAGUUGGCCACGAAGACACCACCCUUUGUAGUUAUAUCUAAGCGUGGAGAUAAUUUGAAAAAAAAAACUAAUUAAAGGUCGGGUUAUUUAGGGAUAUAACCCUAUUUCAUCUAAACUUAUUUGUUCUAUUUUGAUUAGAUAUUUUGUUUUAGUGAAAAAUAAAUACAAAUUUCGACCUCCCAAAGAAAAAAAGAAAUCUCUAAUUCGGUCACUGAUUGAACUAAUGAGACGCCACGCAAGCAAACUAAAGGCUACUUUAACUCAAGAAAAGACCCAAAUUGAAUGAAAAUCGGAGGCGAUGUAUUUAUUAUUGAUGAAUAUUAAAGGUGGUGCCGAUUUUUUUUAAAAAAAAAAUUGACAUAAAGGCACGGAUUCCGAUAAUAUAUUAGGUCACUCGUCAAUGGGAUUAUCAUCAUCUGCUUGAACCUCAAAUAUAAUCUAUGCGGUCCCUAUAACAAAAGAACUAUAUAAUAAUGCGACCUUAGGGAGAACAAAAAAAUAUUAUCGUAAUUAGGGGCUCCACUCUAUUCUCCCUAGGAGACAUUAUUUGAAUAAUAAAAGGGUGUUCGAAAGUACUGGCCAUGGUUGAAUCUUAUGACAUCAUCUAUCUUAUCAGUUCCUUUUCCAUAAUUAUUUAAUUCACAAGCAUUUAUACUGGUUUUUAUUGUCUUUUUUUUUUCUUGAUCCUAAUGAUAAUUGGUGAUCAGUGUUAGAGCAGGAUUAUGAACUCGUAACCUACCCUAUUAGAACUGAUUCUUAGCCACCUACUUGUAUGGAAAUGCUCAACUUCAUUAUUUAUUGUAUUCUCAAUCAAAAGACUCGUGGGGGGUUUGGUUUUGAAUCAAUUCGAAACCGAUUCUCAUUGAAAACUUGUUUUAAAACAGAAUAGAACAUUCAGAGUUGAGAAUUGGGAAUAGAAUCGUUCAUGGUUGAUUUCCAAAUCUUUUAAUAAAAAAUUGAGCCAGUUCUUGUGUGAAUCAACUUAAAAUCAGCUGCAUAAAAUCCGUUUGAUUAGUUUUUCAAUUAAACCUGUCCGGUUGCUUACCUCAUAUAGACAACUACUCACAAAUUUGUCAUACUUCAUUUAACCUAUUCUAUGUCGAACAGGAGAAUCAUUAUUUUCCACAACACUAUAACUUGACAGUGCCAAGAGUUAUGGCAAAGCCAAACCAUGCAUGAAGAGAAGCCACUUCAACACGGACCUACGAAAAAACAAUAAUUUAAUUUAGCUCGUCUAAUCCAAAAAUGUGUUCAUCUAAAAGGACCAAUAAUUGGAACCAUCCACAUCAGGAUGGUGACAAUUUUGAUCACGCGGACAUAGUUAUAUUCCUUUUCAAUAAAAUUAGUAAUUAUAGACACUAACUGUAUGGCAUUCACAUUGUGAUAAUGACAUCCUCCCAUUAAAACAAAAUAUAAUUAAUGAUUGCAUGGUCCGGCAAUGAUGGAUUGAAGUCAUCCACUACACAAGUCAUAAUUAUCGAUCAUAUCAAAAUAUUUAGACUUGCUACCUAAGACCUUAUUGUUCAUGCUCAUCGUUAAAUUCUAAUACCAUAAACUUUAUAUGUAGUUUGAAUUUUACAAUAUGCAUGAUCGUUUGUUUUCUAUUCUGACCAGUGAACGUGUAUUUCAAGGCUAUGGCUGGGAAGUGCGACAGCAAUUUUCUCUAACCUUAGACGGAACAAGAAAUAAGACAAAUCGUCUGAGUAUCCUUACAUCGCUUAUCUAAAGAAGUUAUACGUUUUUUAUAUACUUGUGGUGUUCCUUUACAAAUUAGUUCAAAUUUUACGUUUAUCUUUCUAACAUGUUAUUAGAGUCAAAUUUUGCCUUAGUUUAUCUCUCGUGUGUACCCUAUUCGCCAAAUUUCAUGUGUAGUUCUACAUUUCUUAUCUAUGGGACUUAUGUACUCUUAUAUACAUGGUUUUACUCUAUUUAUUAGCUUGAAUUUUUUAUAUUCAAAGGAAAAACAGGAAAGAUGAAAAUCAACUUUAAAAUUUAGGCAUUUUCUAUCCGAGUGUUCAUCUGUCACUCUCCAACAUAGCAUUGCAUUAUUACAACAAAAUGGGUCAUAUCAUUGUUGAUGACUUCGCUACGAGACAUCUUUUAUAAAAGAAAUGAAAUUUCAGUCACAAAUUAGGAAAAAUUUUAAAAUUUCUAUGAGAACGCGAGAAGGAAAAAAUGAAUUUAUUUUAAAAUUAUUCUACUCUCCUUUUCUAAACACAAGACUAAGGAUAUGUAAAACCAUACUUGACGGAAAAAAAUGUUAAGAAAAAAAUUGCUCUGUAACUGCACGUUAAGACGUAGCCAUGCCCUUCCUUCCCCCCCCCCCCCCCCCCCAUUUAGUGUAUUUGCAAUUUUGUGGAUAUAAAUGAUUUAAUUAGCUUAAAUUAGAGAAAUCAUGUUGAAGUCGAUGAUGAUCUCAAGUUUCGUCCGGUCAUCGGAUCGAUCAACUCGCAGCCUCCUAUAAAAAUUAGGUUUGCUGAAAUUCUACGACUUGUCCAUUCUCCAUCUAAAUUAGUGCCCCUUGAUUAGAAUUGGACUGACCUCUCUUGUGGUAGUUAUCUGCAAUUUUCAGCAACAAUAGUGGUUCAUAUUCAUGUACCCAUUCAUCAAGUAUAAUUUCAUAGUAUCUCGAUGUAAAUAUCAUGAAAAAGAAAGGGCAUAAAAUAUUAUAAAUGGCCCCACGACCAAAAAAUAAUGCUUCGAGAGAUUAUGAUUCAAGUUAUCUUAGUAGGGCAAAAGAUAAAAUGAAGCUAGAAAACUAUUGAGAAUUUUUUUAGAAAGAUUGAUUUAGAUUGAGCUUGAGGGACAGGUGACGAUUGAGUAGACUUGUUCUUCAAUAGACACGUGAUGGCUCGUUUGGUGGCUCAAGUUCAUCCUCUCUCUUUCGACCCUACCCAUAUUACAAUCUAUACCCACUUCAAUGUCCAAAGCACGACGGCAAUAGGAUGUCGCAAUUUGUGUGCGGUCUGCUUCAAUUCAGCGCAAAUCUACUCCAUGUAUCUCUGAACGUAAAUUGUUGGUCACCACGUCAUUGUCCUAUCCUGACCAAAUCGAUCACACUACAGGAAUUCUUCCAUGUAUCCAUUAUCUAACGAUGAUCAUGGAAACGUUCUAUUUUACUCCUAAACAACCUAGUCCGGAUCCUUAAUUCUUUACUUAUAUUUAGUUUUCUUUGUUUUCUACGAUUUAUCUAUGAAUUCAAUUUGGGGCAACCAGAGAGGACUAUCUAUACUUUUUUCCAAGUUUAAGGGUCAAUAUGUGCCUUCUCCAAACUAUGGGCGGAAAAUGCCCUUAUUUUAGUUCUUAAAGAAUUAUAAAAAAAAUAAAAUAAAUGUUUUUAAGCAUUUUAAUUUAAAGGAUUUCACAAAAAAAAUUAAGUAAAACAAGAAUAAAAUAAAAUAGGAAGAAUAUAGGUCGUUCCAAACACGGACUAAGAUUUCAAAAGACAAUAAAAAUAUAUACAAUUUGGAAAAAAAAUUAGGAAAAAAAAAUUACAUUUUGCUAUUUUGUUGAAUCGAGCAUAAAGACAAAUGAUCGGUAGACCCUUUUGCAUUGCGUGCAUUAUUUGGCUUUGCGACGACGUGCAUUAUUUGGCUUUGCUUUGUCGUCGCAAUUCAUUCUUUAAAUGUACAUAAAUGAAAUCGGAUCUCCAUUGGUAUGUUGGUGGUUAUAAGACCACAUCAAAAGGCCCAUCAUAAUGAUUGGCGAGAGUGCACGCAUGUAUGCAAAAUCAUCCAAGCAAAUUGUUGGUGGGAUAUGAUUGUUCAAAAAUUUAUAAAUUUAUUGUACAAUAGUCAAUUCAGUUUUCAAUUUUUCAGUUGUGCCAAUUGAAUCAUAAUCCUGUAUUGAUUUAUCAAUUUAGUUUUAAACUUUCGAUUUUGUCAAUUAGUUCUAAACCUUUUGAAAAUUUCUCAAUUUUGUCCUAAACUUUUUGAAGAUUUGUCAAUUUAGUCCUACAUGGCAUGGUUGAAUGCUGAUGAUGACAAAUUUAUUUUUUUUAUUUAAUUUAAAAAUAUUUUAUUUAUUUCUUUUUUCUUUUCUUUUCUUUUCUGAUUCAUGGUUAAGGGCAGUGGCCGGAGGCCCAACUGCCCAUUGCGUUGCGAAAAGAAAAAAAAAAUACAAAAUGUGACAUAUGGCAUUACGACUAAAAAAUUAUUCUUCUAGAUAUUAAAAUUCGAGAUUAUUUUUUUGGACAAAAAUGCAAUGGAAAAGAAACAUUGUUAAGGAGGGAUUUAGAAAGAUCGAGUCAAAUCGAGCACAAGAAAUGGAUGGCGCUUGUCUAAUUGGAGUUGCUUUCCAAUGGAUCCUAGAUGGCUCAUCUUGCGGCUCAAAUUCGUCCCCUCCUUUUCGAUCCUACUCACAUUCCCAUCAAUACCAAAAAAAAAAAAAUUAAAAAAAAAUGACAAUUUUGAUCGACGUCAUAGCACAAGGACGAUAGAAUAUUGUAAUGUCACAAUUCAUGUCUUUUAGAAAUCAGCCAACAAGCAAAUUGGUGGUAGACCCUUUUGAUUGCGUGCAUUAUUUGGCUUUACUUUGUCCUUCCAAUUCAUACUUUAAAUACGCAUAACUGAAAUCGGAUAUCCCUUGGAUGGCGCUGGUCGAACGACCCCAUGAAAGGGCCAUCAUAAUGAUUGGCAAGCGUGCAUCCAAGCCCUUCUAAUUAAGUUUCUAUCAAGAUGCAUGCAUGCAUGCAAAAUUAUUGCAGCGAAAUAUUGGUGGGAUAUUUCUAAUGCAUCCAUGCAGAGCACAUUGCUGAUGUCAUACAACGAGCAACUAAGGACAGAAAAGAGACGGCCAACCUAUGUGGCACAAGAAAUUGAAAGCUUUAGGUCCAAGAUGGCAUAAAUGCAGUAAUUUUAAGACUUAUUGAUAAUUUUCUUGAACUAGUUUGAUACCCUUCGACAAAAAAGAGACAAUUUGACAAUCAAACUGAUCCGGUCACAAUAUUACCUUAAUUUGGUUCAAUUUAUCUCUAGCAAUAACUCAAAUGAAACUAAUAACUCUUUAACUCUUAACAAUUGUAUAACAAUCCUGAAAACUCAAAUAUCAUCCAAGACCUAACCAAUUCGGUCAACCUGGAUCACUCGUCGUGCCGUGCACAAAUUUUUAUCCUCUGGAAGUUUUAUUUUUCGAGUCCAAUUUAUGUCUCUAACAUUUUCAGCUACAAGUCCAAUGCAUUCAAAUCGAGUUGAAUCACAUCAUGAGAAGAAAUUAUAAAGAGACAACGGUACGGAGAAAAGGCACACCCACAUUUUUGGCAUUUAUAGCGGUACAGAAAAACAUUGAGGAUCAAAUUGAUAUGCCACAAUUAUACAAGGCAUUUUAAAAUUAAAUUACCAGAUCAAAAUAUAUUCUUUUUGCUUGGUAAUCAAAUUAAUGUAUUUUAUGCAAUAGGAUAAGGUAUUAUUAAUAUGAGAAAAUUUUAAUUUCAGUUUUAAAUUUAUUGUAGGGAUUUUUAACGUAGUUCUGAAUCUUCUAAUUGUUGUAAUAAGUUCUAAAUCUUUAUGUGAAAUUGCUGACAUAAUGAUAUGGUUAUUGUCAAUCGUACUAACCGCUAUUGCCAUGGUUGGCGAUCGAAAAAUGAAAUGGAUGAUAAAGAAGGGCUAAAAUGUUGGACGACAAACUCGAUAGAAGCAAGGGGACUUUGGCCUUCGGCAUGUUGCGUGCGUGUUUUCUUCGAGUGCUGACCCUGAGAUUGUCCGCUCGUGUGCCAACUCCGCCACACGCACCGCCACACGCGCCGCCACUUCAGGCGCGUGAUACUCCCCUUGGAAUUUAUGAGGGCUCGGCGGAGGCGGCUGCUUGGUUGGGAGGCUGGGGAGAGAGAGAAGGGAGUGUGAAACGCCAUCGUUUUGCUAACAGGUACAUGUUAACGAAUGGACCAACCACGUAAUAAUAAUGGGAUAAAUUUGAAGUGAAAAUGAAAGGUUGGGCACAGAUUUAAAGGAUCAAGGUAUUUUUUAGAAGUUAACUAAAAGUCAGCUUAUAUUAAGAUAUUUACCCUGCUAUUUUCUAUUCUAGUGAUUUUUUUUUCUAAUUUUAUGUAUUUUGUAUUGAAUAUUUUCUCAACCCUAACCAUGAUUAGUAAAAGAUAAGGGUAAUCAGUCUCAAGAUAGAUACAUUUUAGAUCAGCAAUCAUUCCGGAUCAAGAAUUGAGAACCUACUCUGUCGAAGCAGCUUCCCAAUUGCCUGCUUAUGCUAAAAUGAUCGACUUUCUUAUUUUUUUGUAAAGAGUUCUCGAUUAAGUAAUUUUUAGGGUUUGGUUUAAGGCCAAAACCAAUCGGUUCAAGCCCAUGAAACUGGUCAAGGCUGGCUCUCAAAUUUUCAACUCGGAAAUUAAAUUGGCACUCGUGUGAACAUAUUUGUAGUCAGCUAAGUAAGAUUGGUACAAACCCCAAAUAAAGGACAACCCACGAGUUUGUCAUGCUUCCCCUAACCUUUUCAUUAUUGAACAUGAUAAUAUCAGACCAAAAAGGAAAAGAACACAGGAAUCAAAUUUUUCAAUGACACUUGAACUUGACAGGGCCAUGAGACAUGACGUGCGUGGAAAGAAGCCAUUUUUCAACGUCCACCUAAAAAAAAGACAGCCAAUAAUUUAAUUUGAUUGUCCUAAUCAAAGAGGAUGUUUAUCUAUAUGGACCGAAAACUGGAAACUGUCCAAUCAGGACACGAUGGUAACAAUUUUGGUCACGCAGAUAUAGUUGUUGACGCCUCAAAUUUUAAUUAAGUUUAUUUUAUCUUAUUAAUUAAGUUUUUAUUUUAUUUAUCUUGUCUUUUUUCGAAAUAAAAACAGCAAAAGAAAACAAAAGAAAAGCAAAAAAGCAGCCCAUUGGGGCUGGGCUCGAAGGCCCAGCCCCUCCCCUCUUUUCCUCUCUUUCCCUUCGCGCAGGCCCGCGAGGCCCAGCCGCGUGGCUAAGCCCGACCCCUUCUCCUUGUCUUCUUCCUCCCCUGUCUUCUUCCCCAAACUAGAUAAGUAGCACGCGCCGGAGAGAAGGACGCGCGCAACGCCGGAGCAAAGUGGAGGAACAGUAGCGCACGUGGAGCAGGGGGGCGGCUGGCGUCGGAUAAGAACGUGGGAGGGGCAGCUGGCGUCGGAUGGGACGCCGGUUCGGCCGGCGGAGGCCGCUUGGCGCACGGGGACCGGCGGUCGAAGCUCCGUUGACCGGCUGCCCCUCGCCUAUAAAUAGGCCCUCGUUUUCGUCGUUGAGAGGGCACGCCGAGAAGGAUCGAAGGCCGCAGAUCCUCGAAACCUCCCACUGAGAGACUUCAGAACGGGGGGCCGAGGACGAGCACGCCGAGAUCCAAGGUCGGCCGGAGAAGCGAGCGCAGAGACGCGCGGAGGAAGGAGAAAGGGAGAGGGAUCGAGGUCGCGACCUUUGGACACCCCACUGAGAGACUUCAGGGGGGCCGAGGGCUCGCGGCUUCGGAUCUGGGUUCUGCCGGAGGGAGGAGUAAAGGAGAGAGAGAGGAAUCGAAGCAAAGAUCGAAUGCUUGCGAGCGCCGGAAGCUUCCCUCGAGAGACUUCGAGGGAGGUCCGAACGCCCGCAAGCCUAAAGGAGGUCCGAGCCAUUAGCCUCCUUUAGGCGCUCGUACCCGAUCGUGGGCGCUGAAAAAAAAAAAAGAGGUCGCAACAAUAGUUAUAUUAUUUUUCAAUAAAAAAUAGUAAUUAUAGAUACAUAACUGUAUAGCAUUCGCAUUGUAAUAAUGGCAUCCCCCUAUUUAAAAAAAAAAAAAAAAAAAAACUAAUCACUGCCUCUUCCGACCAUGUAAGGUUUAAUUAUGCUUCCAAAAUGAUGUAAGUCUCCCACUUGUCAUUAUCAUAUGUGAUAUUAAAAUAGAUACACUAACUACCUAAAACCUUAUCUUUCAAACACAUCUUUAAAUUCGAAUGUGAUGGACUUUAAGUAAUUUCGAUUUUAAAUCGUAUGUGAUUGUUCAUUUAUCAUUCCAUACUUGCUAAAACUCGUUAAUGCGUGAUUGUUUAUUUUGUAUCGUGGCCGUGACAUGGAAGUGACCUGACGGCAACGCUCUCUAACCUUAGCUGGAACUACAAAAAUAUGCUACAUCAAGAAAAGAAAGGAAAAAAAAAAGGAACAAGGAGGAAGGUGAAAUUUUAGAUGAACAAUGAGAAAAAGAGCUUGAGGUACAAAUGACAGUUGCCUUAUUAGACUUGCUCUCGAAUGGAUCUUUGAUGGCUAGUGUCAUGGCUCAAAUUCAUCCUCUCUUUUUUCGACCCUACAAUCCUUACCAUCCAUGCCUAACCUCAUUACAUCUAGAUGUAGCCCUUUGGUCAUAGAUCACCAAAAGAAUAACAAUUUGUUCAACACAAGGACGUUCGAAUGUCACAAUUUGUGUGCUAUUUGUCUCGAUUUGAUCUAAAUUUGUUCCAUCCAUCUCUAAACCUAACUUAUUAUUGGUCACCACGUUAUUGACAUAUCAUGACCGAAUCGAUCACGCAAUUGCGACUUGCGAUGGAAGAGUCCUGUAUUUUUAUUAUACUAGUUGAAUUCUUCCAUGUAUCACUUUUCUAACGACAAUAAUGGAAACAUUCUAUUUUACUACUAGAGUAUCUGAUCCUAGUUCUUAAUUCUUUAUUUUAGUUUUCACUUUGUGUUCCAGCAUUGUUGUAACUGUAUCUAUUAUAAUUUGGAGAUGCAAAGAUGUCAUUCUAAAACUUCUUUUGAAGUUUGAGAGUCAAUAUGUAAAACAUAAAGUUAAACGAAAUAAUAAUGAUAUAAGCCACUCCAAACACGUACCGAGAUUGAGAAAGUAUGAAAAUAUGUAGAAUUUGGAAUAAACGUUUGGAAAGAACAAUUUUUAUUUUUAUUUUUUUGCUAGUUCGUGGAAUCGAACAUAUUUCAAAUGACUGGUAAGGUGUUGGUUAUAAGACUAUAUCAAAAGCCCAUCAAAAAUUUUGCCGGGCGUGCGGUGCAUGCAUGCAAAACUAUUCAAUCGAAUCAUCAGUGGAGAUGUAUUAAAUGGUGAAUAUUUCAAUAAUAUUUUGAAUAUUUACAAUAAUAGCUUUGAUAAAAAUUAUGAUCGCAUUGAAAACUGUAAUUAUUUUUAAUUGUCAUAUAAUAGUUUAUUAACGGUCGGCUUCAAUCACUUUGUAACAGUUAAUUUAUUUCUCAAAUAAAUCCUCCAUUAUUUUACAACGGCUCUUUUAAUGGCUUUAUUUUGUUUGAAUAUAAAAAUAAAAUCCAUAAGAUAAUCUUGAUAUAUAUACUGAAUGAAAGAGAGAAUAUCAUUAUCUUUAAAAAAUCUUUCAUUUCCUUUUUCUUGCCUAGUUAUACAUAAUGCUAUUUCUGUUCCUUGUAAUAUUUAGUGCGGAACAUGAUAAAAGAUCUGUUGUAUCUUGAGAGGGUAGUUGCCAAAACCCUAUCGUACCGAGUUUCACACUCUGAGGAGUGGAAUUAUUUUUAAAGAUAGUGCUUGCAAUUGUACACCUCAUACAAAUUUAUUUAUUUUCAUUAGCUUUUUCCAACAUUUAAUGCAUCAAGGAACAAAUAAUGGAACAGAUGACUCGAGAAAUAAUCUCUUUGAAGUGUUAGUCAACAACUUGAAUGCUAUCAAUAGCUGGCUCUUAACGAUUAUAAACCUGUAAAAAAUGGGUGAUAAAUCAAACUUUUUAACCUAUAUUUGAUGGAUUAGGUUAUUAAAUAGGUUAGUUAUAUUCAGUAAAUGAAUUUAGAAUUGUAUACACCCAAAAUAAGAUAAGUGUUAAAAUGGGUUCACAACUUACUUAGAUUUAACUUGUCUCUAUAACUUUCUCACCGUCACUCAAUCUUGCACUUGCUUACUUCGUAUUCUCACCUCAAUUUGGGUACGAGUUUUCUAAAAUUUAGUUAAAGAUGCACUAUAUGGGUCAAGUAUAGACUACUAGAUUCAUUUUUGAGUCGACUCAUCCGUUGUACGAGUCUAGUGACUACAUAACAAUUGCGGAAGCUCGAAUCCAAUAUCUAAUCCACAAUGUUAACUUUUUCAAUCAAUUACGAUCACUCAUGCCAUGCUCAAAUUUUCAUCCUCCACGAGUCUUUUUUUUUUUUUUCCUGUAACUCCAAUUUAUCUCUCUAACUUGUUCAGCCGUGAGUCCAGUUCACCGCAUGCAUUGAAAUCAAAGCUAAACCAUGCCGUGCAAAGAAGGCGUGGCCAAAGCGGAUAAUGAAGAGAAAUAACAGCAAUAAGGACACGUGGAGUGAAGAUGGACGAGAUGUACGGAGAAAGCCACCUUCGUUUGGCAUUUACAGCGGUAAAAAAACUUCCUCCUUGUUUCAUAAAGCUACCACAAUAACGUUAGGUAAGUCAAAAUUUAUUCACCUUAUUAGAAUAUAUUCUUUUUUUUUUCUGGGUUUCAAAAUAAUCUGGCAUAUAUUAGAUUAACAUGUCAAUCUUAAUAUAUAGGGUUAAUAACAUUAAAAAUCUCAAAUUGGUACUUCAAAAAUAGUAAUAUAUUUACUUCAAAUUAAUUUUUCAUUUUUCACAAAUAUACCAAAUUGGCAUUCCUAACUCGAACUCACCAUAUGUUAGCAUUUUGUUUAAUAUCCCAUUAAAAUGCAUAUUGUCAACGCACAAAUUACAAAUCCAUCUUGCAGUAUUCUAUCAUGUCACGUAUGCAUUUUAGUGUCGGGCAUAUUUGGCAUAACGGUAUCAGUUUGAAAUUCAUUUAUAGAGAGAAUUUUUUCCUUUUUUUCUUUUUUUUUUUAUAAUUAAUGUCUCAUGGAUAUAUAGGUUCGAAAUUUUUCUGUGAAAUGAAACUUAGUCAGAGUAGUAUUAUAAAGGUAUUGUUUCAAGAUUUUAAUGGAAUUAACCCUACUAUGCAUUCCUCAAGCUAGGAUGACUCCAGAAGAAAUUCAUCAAGGAAAAAAAAUACUCCAAAAUAUUUUUUCAGACAGGACCCUUUGAACAUUGUCCCAGCUUGAAGGGACCCACUCAACGGUGUAUGAGACGUCGACACGUGUAAAAUAGGUUUUUUUUUUUUUCCUUUUUGGUAAGGUUUUUACACUCCAUAUUUUUUCCAAUUGCUAUGGGAAUACCGUUGGUGUAAAAUAGUUCAAAAAAUCGAAAAAUCGAAAAAUCGAGGGGAUAAGGAGGAGGAAGGAAGAGUGGGGAAGACGUGGUCACGCGGGUGAGGGGGUGGGGAUGUUUACAACGCCUGACGACAAACAUGGUGAAAGCACGUGGGCGUGUUUUAUUCGAGUGUUGACCACGAGGAUGUCCGCUUGUGUGCCGACUUCGGCCGCGCGGGCCACUCGCCUUGCACAUAUUUUUGAGUUAAUACCACGGACCUUUUUUUUUUUUUAAUCAAAUUCAUAAAAAAAAUUAAAUUGAUAAAUUUGUAAUAAUUUACUCUAAAUUCAUUUUUUAACCAGUAAAAAUGUCAAACUAGUAUAUUUGCAACAAAUUUAUUCUUCUUUGGGUUUCGCUGAAUUUUUUCAUUCCAAUUUCUGAGUUAAAUCAUAGAUGAUAAUUGAUAGGUGUACUAGUUUGAGAUUUUAUUCUCGACAGUUGUAGCAAUUUGUGAUUUUACAUAGAAACUAAUCUAGGACAAAUUUGUCACAUGCAUACAAAUUCGUCCAAAAAAAAUUAAUUUAUAGUAAAUUUGUCACAAAUUUAUUAAUUUGAGAUUUUUCGUGGUAUUAACCAUAUACUUUUUUUUUAUUGUCAUGUAGAUGAGAUAGUUUAUAAUGACAAUAUCGAUGAUUAUCCAUGAAGAACAAUAAUUUUUUUUUUAUGAUUUAUAUGAAAAAUUACAUAUAUUUUGUGUGAGUUUCUAUUGGAUAGUCAUGAAUUUUGCUGAUAAUUAUUAGUUUAUUGGGAAAUAAAUAAAUAAAUCAUCCGUGUUCCAUCCGUGCAAAUUGGCUGACGAAGACUUGAGAGUGCAAAAAAGAUUAUAUUCAAAAUGAUAUAUAAUAUUAUAGUUUGUUCGGUCAAUUGUUGACUUCAAUCUCGCACGAUUUGUCACCAUCGCACGUGUUGGCCACCGCAGCCUAAUUAAUUUGCAUGAAUGAGUCGUCUGUUUCAGUAAUGGGCAUGCAUCGUAUCAAUUUUUUAUUAUUAUUUUUAUCUUACAAGUGAUUAGUGGAUGUCGCUUUGAGUUAUUGUCAUCUGCAAUUUUCAAGACAUUGAUGAUCUUACUUAGUACUGUCGACAAUCGUCUUAAUGGAAUAAUCAAACUGCUCAAAUCGUAAACUAUUUUGGGUUAUUCGACUAUACUUACUCAAUCAAGUGGAUUUCCUCGUGCAAUGUCAAAAUCAUGUUUUGUCACAUCUGAUAUCUUUCAUAGUUAGAAGGAAAAGGAUCGAGAAAAGGGCAGAGAAAAGGGCAAAUUCCAAGUAAAGUAGGAUUCUUCCUUUUGCGAAAAAUAAAGGGUUAAUUCUUAAAAAACCUCAAAUUUUAGGUUUAAUCUCAAUUUUAUUUUGACUUUUUUUUUGUCUCGGAAAAAAUCCCAAACUUUAGGUUUAGUCCUAAAUCUUCCGUGAACUUUUUUUUUUCUUACCUUAGAACAAAUCCAAACUUUAGGUCUAGUUCCAAAUCUGCCCCAAAAUUUUUAUUUAUCCCAGAAAAAACCCCAAACUUUAGGUCAAAUUCUAAAUCUACCUUAACUUCUUCUUCUUCUUCUUCUUCUUUGUCAAAAAGAAAAUCAUCAAUUUUAUUUUAGUCCUAAAUUUGCAUCCAUUAGCCAUCUAUCCAAAGUCGUGAUUAGUGUCCCUAAUUUUUAUAUCCUAUAACAGUUUUAUUUUUAAGAUAAUUUUCCUUGUCGUAUUACCAAUGUAUAUUUAUUAUCAAUGUGGAAAAACCACAUUAAAUUGGAAUUGGACCACGCAGUAAAUUUGAAUAUAUAUUAAAAGUUGGUGAUUUUAUUUUAGACAAAACAAAAUUCAUGACAUAUUUGGGAUUGGACCUAAACUUCAGAUUUUUUUUUUUUUUUAAGACAAAAAAAGUUCGGGACUGGAUCUAGAGUGAUAACCAGUAAAUUCAACCCGUUGAGAAUGCACGGAAUUUUCCAUGUAAAUGAUAUUAUUUUAUUUUCAUGAUUGUGCGCGUGUGCGUGGGGGUGUAUAUAUAUAUAUAUAUAUCACCGGGCAAGUAUAGAAAAAUCGUACUAAGCCAUAAGUCACAGAGAAACAAAUGCGCUACAGAAUUGCUAAAAAGGAUUUGUGAUUAUUGGACAGUAAGCGAUGAACGCAAUCAAGGAACGGUAUCAAUGUUCAUAGGUUGAGAGAUGUGUUGGACCAGUCAGUCCACUCGAACGAAACAGUACACCCUCGCCACCAAGAAUGUCCCAGUGUCCAAACCUCGGUCCUUUUGCAUUCCCGUGAAUACGAGCCGUGUGGUCGCUACGGCGGACCCCCUCGUACCCAUGAUCCAAAACUUCCGAUCCAAGCUCCUCGGGGCGGAAAUUUCUUGCUUAGAUCCGAACCUAACAGGUCGAGCGCACGACGGUCGUUGAUCUCACGGAGGGAUCGACGGUUGUGAUUCAAUUACUCUUACUAGACGCCUGUCAAGGCUAAGUAUUAGUCAUUGUGGUCCGGGGGGGGAAGUCAGUCGAAAAUGUCUUGCGCUGUCCUAAAAUGGUGCCUAUUUUUCACCCACUGCGCGACAGCUUUCUCUUUGUUCCUUUGCUUCCGGACCGGCGAGCCACCCCAUCAUUCAAUGUAAGAUAAGAUAAAGAAGCAAUGUUGUAGGAUGAAUGGCAUUAUCGUUUUGUGAUAAUUGGCUGAUUCUUGUUCCUAAUCUAAAGGGAUAGUAAUAUCUCACUUCUUUUAAGGAAUAUUCCCAAAACACUUCAUUAAAAUAUAUUAAAGAAAAAUUAUGUUCGAUUUUUGAAGUAUUAAUUAUACACGUCGCAAGCAUGCGUAGCGAGUAACCUUAAUGCAUUACCCGUGUUUAGUUAUUUAACAAGCGUUGCACAUACACUUUUAAGAAAAUUAAUAACAAGGUUUUAGGCUAAAGUCUUGUGCUUGCUAUUUGACAUAUAUGAAUAUUUCAUUUGAGUAUUUGCAAUGGCAGAUCGGCUUUGUUAGUAAAUAAAUUAGGCGAACAGCAUAAGUUUGAUUUUUCACAUCACUGAAAAUAAUAUUAAUAAUAACAAUAAUCCAGUGCGUAUCGGGCCAGCCACUCGAAACUCGAGGAAAAACUUUGGUUGACAUUUUAUUAAACCUUAAAACUAGUGGAUGUAUCAUUAGGUCGGGGAUUUAUCUAGACAUUCCUCUUCACAAGAAAAUAUCUCCCAUGUAAAUAACUUUUUCACACUUAAUCAUGGUCGACAAUUUUUAAUAUGGUGUCAUAAAGGUACUUGAAAUUCACGUCACCUCAGCUUGUAUAGAACAUCAUGAUUUUGAUAAUAAAAUCAAACAAUUAAUUAGCAAUGAACACGUGCCAAUUCAAAUCAACGUACGAAUUAAGUGUAUCUUCUCGCUUUAUAUCAAAUUAUUUCCUUUAAUUUCGUCUCUUGUCCGGAAUGGUGAUCAUAUCGUGCAAAAUGGGUUGUGUCCAAAAAUUAUGAGCGCGAAGACCUUUCAAGGGAGUCUGUGCGCUCCAUUAUUUGAGAUGAGAACACAGAAAUUUGGAGAAAGAAACCAAAACAUGAAAGGGAGUUUAUUUUGUCGGGUCUACACCCACUUCUAGGACAAGGGGGAAGGCCUUGGGAAGGAGGAUAAUGCUCACACAUCCUUUUUGACUAUCCCUUAUAUGCCAGCUAAUGAAACAACUGGAUUUAUUCUGACCCCCCAUGGCGUACCACACGGUCCUUCCCCUCCAUACCCCUUAACUUCUUCCUUGGAGGCCGCCCAAUAUCUGAGGUCACCAUCCCUCUCCAUCGAUACAAACAUGAACAGCUCCCCCCCCCCCUGUGGUCCUCAAAAUUCCCCCUUCUUUCUCAACUUUGAUUAUGAUGGGAUUCUUGGCUUGCCACUCCCAAACAAGAAAUGGAAAUUGGGUCUCUUGCUCUUUCCUUUGCUUUUAAAGAUUUUUACCAGAUGGUCAGGUUUUGUCGAUAAGUGUCUUGAGAUACCGGUUACUUGUAUUUUACAAAGAGCUGCAUGAUGACUCUACAUAACAUGAGAAAAGUUGUGCAUCAUAAAUAGGAAUCUUUCCUUAUUUGGAUAUUCAGUAAGUGUCCUCGAACAUGGUUCUAAUUUCAUAUAUAUAACGUCUUCGAUGAUAAUAUAUAUAUAAUCGAUAUUUUAUAGAUAAGAUACUUUAUCAUGAACCAUGUUUGGACACUUAUUAACUAGAUUCUUUACAGGCAACAUCAAAACUCUUAACUUCAAAGAGCAUUAUAUACAUAUAUGUGUGUUUAUAGAUACAUACAUAUAUAUAUAUAUAUAUAUAUAUAUAUAUACAUACAUACAUAUAUAUAUAUAUAUAUAAUUUAUUUUGACUUUUUAAAUUUAUGAGUUAUUAAUCAAUUUUUCAUUAUGACUUAUAGCUUAUUUAAUUUUUAAAAAUCAUGAAAAGUAUAACGGAAAUGUAUUUAUAUAACUUGAAAGAAUUUUUAAUAUUUGUUGAAUAAAGAUAAAAUCAAACCAAGUCUAUUAAUUUACUAAGGAUUUUGAAAAGUACCCCCGAUAUUUGAUAAGAUGAAUUAAUUAUGUUUCGAAACUUGCAUUUCUAUUUAUGCCCUCAUAAAAAGAGAAUGAAUUUCCACUAUUCAAUGUUUUUAAACAUGUUUUGAUAAUUGAUCUCUCUUUCACAUUCUUGCCAAGUGUCCUUAAGGCACUUAUGAGCAAGACAUUUGUUUUUUUUUUUUUUUAAAGUCAAAGCACUAUUAAAAAAAACAAAAUGUGUCUCGCUGACGAGCGCUUUUCAUGGGACUUGUAACUUAAUAAGAAAAUAUUUCAAUUUUAAUACUUUGAUAACACAUAAAACAAGAGCAAUGAUAUAUGGGCAAUUCUAAUAUUUUGGGACAACUACAUAAAUAGUCCAUAAAUUCAUACUCAAUGUACAACGUUAUUCUUGAACUUUUAACUUAUUUAGUGUGAUUCAUAAAUUUUAUCCUAAUAUACAUUGACGUGACUAAACUAUUAAUUUGUUCAACUUUUACAUGUUCAAUCAAGAUAUGAAUCAUUGAUCUCGCCCCUUCAACUUUGAUCUCUCCCUCCCCCUCUCUCCCUCUUCAAAUUUCAGCUUUUCCCGUCUCUUCAACUUUUGGACGGGAGGACUCUCCCUCCCUUCCCUCAUUGCUUUUCCUUUUAUUUUUUCUUGUUUUUGUUUUCCCUUACUCUCCCAAUCUAGUCUUAGAUUUAGGAACUUUACUCUUCAUAUUUUAAAUUUGGAAGCUUUUCUCUCCAAUUUAAUUAUAGAUUUAGGAAUUUUAAUAAAUAAGUACUCAACUUUUAGUUUUAAUGGUAUUUAUGAUAGCUUUGAUGUCAAAUUUGUGCUCAUUUAACGUAUUUUUGUUAAAAGCUUUGGUGUCUUGCACUUGUUGAAGGGCUCACUUUCGUGGGUAUUAGAUCCGAGCUUGUUCAAAAUGUUUAUAUUGUCUCAGUACAAUGAUGAUGUUGGGGAUAUCAAACCUAGGCACAUGUUGUUAAAAGGCCAAGCUGUAACUUCUAUUAGAGAUUUUGUAUAUGCUCAUCACGGAUGAUGAUGUUUGAUUCAGUGAUUGGCAGUGAUUGGCUGUCGAUCUUUUUGUUUGGAUGUCAUGACAAAUCCAUUUAUAAAGGACAAGGGUAUGAUAAUCUUCGCCAACUGUGCUCUGAUGAUGUACUGGGAUUUCUUGUUGUUGGUUUAUUUUGGAGCUCUACGGACUUACCUUGUUAUGAUGACUUUUGAGAUCUCCCAUAAAUCCGUUCAUGUAUUAUUUUGGUAAUGAAUGAACAUUUCUUUUACAAAAAAAGAAAAGAAAAGAGUUAUCACUGAAUUUGAAUUAAUAAAAAGAUAAUAUUGAACAUUUUCAUAUAAUAUAAAUAUUCAAUUAAAAAUGUAUCAAAAAUUUAAAGACUAUAUUCAAUAAAUUAAAAAUUCAGCGAGAACAUUACAAAUUAAGUUAAAGUUUGUAAAAGACAUUGAAUAAAUAAAAAAUUUAAAGGGAGGGCCCCCCCGGGGGGAAUUCGGACCUUUUGCAGAGAAAACAAAAGACAAAAAGAUGUGAGAAGUGAAAAUGAUGCUGAUUGAGACAAGAGAGAGCGUCAGUGCAGAAUUUAGAGCGCAACUGUGCAAAUUAAUGCACGAGCUCAUCCAAUCAAUCAGGCAAAGGUCGUGUCUAAUCGUACCUAAUCUAAAUUCGUCCCUUUGCGGUUGAGCAAACAGUCUCUCUCCUCUUUGGAGAAAACACGGCCAUGUACGAUCUGAUCCGGCACAGCGUGGGUCGAGAUUGGACUGAAGUCAUGAGCUGAUGCGUCGUAUUCAAUCAGAGCCUCGUCUUUUCCCCUAACCCUUUCUUUAGAAGGGUGUAGAAUAAUAGUAAGGGGAAAAUUAAAAGAUAUAAAAAGAAAUGGGUGGAGCAUUGAGAAAAUUCUACUCUCUUUAAAUCGAAGAUAGAAUGUGACCAAAAACAAAUCAAAGAUUGACAAGGGGUGUGCAUAUUUCUUGGUCCAAUCCAAAAAUUAGAAUGGUCUGAACCUAGUCAAUGAUUUCUGGGCGGCUCUUGAGGGGACUAUAAUUGAAUUGAUUGGAACCAAACCUCAAAAGUAAAUUAUUUUUUCUUUUGAUGUUGUGAAACUCCACUUUGUAGGGAAUAGAAGAAAUAAAGAAGAAGAAGAAGAAGAAAUCAAUUAUUUUAUGAUUCCACAAACUAGGUACCCAUCUUACCUAAUUCCACAAACAAGGUACCCAUCUUGCUCAAUUCGAUUCCAAAUUUUAAGGUGGUUACUAACUCACCUCGAAACCAAUCACUCAUGGUAAGGGGGCAAGGAAUUGAAGUGAAAUGACAAUUCCACCCUUGGCUUUCGCGACGAAUGCCAAUUCAAAAGUUCUUGUAGAGCUUAUUUGAAAAGAAAAACAUAUUGUUUCUUCCAAUUUUUUAAUGACAAGUUAAGUAUUUUCAGAUCCAAUCAAAAAGUUUCCAAGGCCCGAAAACCUCUAGAUAAUUGAUUAAUAGUGUCUAGAGACUAAAAAGGAAUCCCCAUUAGAUCGAGGUUAGGGUUGUGUUUUAAAAUAGCAUACUUGUCUCGGAUUUCCAUUAAAUCUAAAACUGUAGAUAGAGACAAAUAAUACAAUUAUCACAUCGAUCUAUUUGUACAACUAUUUUAUUAAUUAAUAUAUCAAUGAUGAUCGGUGUGGAGAAAUUAUUUUCCAUUGGAACUAAAAUAACAAGUCAUAUUUCGUAUUUAAUAGUUUGAAUUCUAAGAUGUAAAAUUCAAGGUAUUCCCAGGAGAGAAUAAAUAAAAACUUUUCUACCUAAUUGGGAAUUGGGGCAUGUUGGUGAAAAUAAAGAGCACGAUCUUGUCAGCUCGCCAAAUUUAUUUGACAGAUGAGAUAGUCCUUAACAAAGCUCUUGAGCUCUUGAGUUGUAGUGACGUAAAAUUUUAAGUCUUUAACCACUGUCGGAUUCAUUGGUGGGGUAAAAAUUUAAUCAUUGUCGAGGUUCUACAACAACGGCCCACAAUAAUUUACAAAUUAAUAGUCAGCAUUUUUCAUUCUUUUGAUUUUUUGGUACCUAAGGAAUUAAGAAUCAAACAUAACGUCAACAUAUUAAUUUUUAUAUCAAGUUCUUUUUUGGGGGCCCCUCUUCAAAAUUGGCGUGCAAGGGUGGGUCUAUAACGCCUAAAGUCUCAGGGUCGACAUCAAAAGCUACUACGAGCCUCUCUGCCUUACAGCUCAGACCGCCACGUCAUCCCUACAGCCUGGCAGAGGCUCUCAUCCCCGCAUCCCCCGACCAAUCGCUUCACUCCACGUGGCGCUCCCUUUGACGUUGACCCUGAUCCUUUCUCUUCACGAGACUGUGUUUUGCCCACGCUAAUAAUUGCGCGCACGAGUAUCCUACGCGGCUACAUUGUACCGAAUACCUUAAAAAAAACCAAAAGCACGGACUUCCCCAAUUGGUGCGAAAGCAAAGACAUAAAAAUGGUUGUCGUUUUUCGUUUUCUUUUUCUUUUUUUCAAUUUAAAGAGAAAAAAAUAUUGACGCGACACUUUUUAUUAUAAAUAAUUUUUUGAGAAAAUUGAAAUGAAUGAACCAAAGAGGACAUGUUAGGUAUGCUCUUUUUCCCUUGCUAUAAAUUACUUUCCCUCGAUGUUAAAAUUAUUAUACACUUUUAACAGUUUUGAUAACAAUAAAUGUUGCAUCAUCAUUCGUGUCACCUACCCCCUAGAAUCUUGGGUAGGACGUACAUCUACGGCCAAUUUCGUGCAAGAGCAGGAGGUACUGUUUUUUUGGGAUCUUUUAAAGAAGGGACUAGUACUGUCUAGCACACAGAAUUUUUUUUUUCUUUCUUGGGGGGUUGUCUAGGCCUUAGAUUGAUUUUCUUUUGGGGGUUAUCUAAGGUGACAUGACAUUCAUAAUUUUUUUUUGUACUUUAUCUGUAUAAUACACUUUACUCAUCAUUUCUCGUUCGGCGAAUGAAUUAUUUUUAUAAUUACAACCAUGAAAUAUCUAUUGGACCCAAAUCAAUCCUAAUCAUUACGAUUAUGUAAAUGCUCUAAAAUUCAAUCAAAAAAAUUACAUUCAAUUUAAUGUUCAAGUUCAAAUAAAAAUUUCUUGUUCUAACAACGCAAAAAAAAAUCAAUUUUCACACGUAUUGCGCACUAUGGAUUAAACACAAUAUUUGACUUAAACGCAUCAUCACGUACGAACACUAUGAUAUCUAAAUUGGCCAUAUCUAUAUGUCUCGAAAUUGAUAUUGACUAUGGCCAGAAAUAAAGAAGAAAAGAAAACGAAUUUGAUAUAUAUCACAAAGUCACGAGGAUGCACAGAAGAUAAAAUAAAAAAUACUCGGCUAAUCUCUCACAGCUGUUUCCCUCUCCUCCUCUUCCCACUAUAAAUGCCCUCUCCCUUCGUAUUUUUUCCCACUCCUCUCUCUCCUCACUCUCUCUCUGAAAGCUUCGGGGCCGCGUCAAUGGCGUCUCGCUCUCUCGCUUUCCCUCUGUUCUUCCUCCUCUUCAUAUUCUUCUCAAGUUCCAUCUCCUCCUCCUCCGCCGCCCUGGUCCAGCAACAACCCCUCGUCCUCAAGUACCACCACGGAGCCCUCCUCAAGGGCAACAUCACCGUCGACCUCGUCUGGUACGGUCGCUUCACCCCCACCCAGCGCUCCGUCAUCGUCGACUUCAUCCGCUCC